AAUUACCUUUCAUGGAUGACAAUGUGACUAGAAUAUCCUCCCUUUGUGACUGUACCGUCCGCAUCGAUUCCAUCAAAAGUCAAAACCGCCUUUUCACAUUGGGUUUCUAGCCUGUCAUUGCAAUACUCACACUCUCUGCAUGAAUUGACAUAAGUUCCCACCCCCACAUGAUCGCCAACUUUGAAGCGUUGGACACUGGAGCCAACCUGUUUCACAAUUCCAACUAUCUCGUGCCUGAAUCAAUCAAAAAAAUCAUUUGCAAAUUUUGUUCAGAGAAUUAUGAGGAUGGUGCUAAGAAAAAAAGAUUAACAUUUGAAUCACGCUGCAUCCUACCCUGGCACCAGAGGAUACUUGGAGUGUCCUUGCACAUUCCUAGUCCAAGCCACAUCUGCAUAGCACACUCCACAGUGCGUGAUCUUAAUCGAGACGUCUUCGCUUCCCACGGCCCUAAAGAGAUGAUUCCCAAACAGGUGAGCAUAUAAUCCAGUGACUAAUCAGACUAGGGUACCUUUUUUUUUCCAUUUUCAAGAUCAACAAACUAAGCUUGACCUACGAUUAUCGAGAAAACAAGAAACCAGAAAUGAGAAAAGGAAAAAUUCCAUGACUGCAAGCAUAUUUGUCCAUACGCUAGAUACAACCUCAAAUGCUCAGAAAGGCAGCCAGUACAGGAUCCUCAUGUCUGCCAUGAAAUUCUGAGUAACCCAUUACCAACAAUUCUCGACCCAGAAUUCAGCGCAUACACAACAAAAGAAAGAACGAAAAAAUGAAAUGGUCUGGACCGAAAACUGUCUCGCGUGAACACUGUACUGAGACUCUCGCAUGAACACUUUCGGUAGAAAUCGAAAAAGAAAAAAAAAUGGCAAUACCUGCGGGUGAAUUUGUAGGGGGAGAGGAACCCAGAAGGGUCCCGGGCAGCCCAACCGAGGCAAUCCUCCUUCCCACCCUCCGAGCUCAUCUUCUGUACCUACACACCCAGCGAAGCAAUCACACAAAUGGGUACGGUUAGAUUCAUCCAAAGGAGAAGAAGAAAGGGUGAGAACUCGAACGAGAAAGUGCCCAAGAUCAGAGACUCAACGGGUCAUCACUCGGCGAGGACUCGAGUCACAACGAGCUCGCCAUCACUCACCAACUCACUCACUCACCCACACCCACCUACCCAAACACAACCCCACGGGCCACAGCAACUCAGAGAGAGAGAGAGAGAGAGAGAGAGAUGACUACGGAGAUGGAGAUGAAGAGAGGUUACGCUGUGGAGUAUGCAGGAGCGCGAAGAGGGUGACGAGCCGAGCACAGUCGAGGACGGGAGGUUCAACGAAGACUUUUUUGCCCCCUCCUACUUCGCAGGAAAGCUGCGAGUAAUCCGAUGGAUUUUAUAGCGUUGGCCCGAGAUAGUUACGAAAAUAUUGGAAGGAAAAAUUAUCCGAAACUUUAACUCAACAUGUACCGUGAUCUAUAAGGAAAAAUAUAGUAUAUAGAAAUGAAAGAUGAGUAGAAAAAGAAAUGGACGAUUGCUGUCAAAUUAAAACUAUUCCCAAGUCAACUUGUCGGUCCCUUUCCUUCCAUUAUAAUCCUUUUUUAUAAUGUAACUGAAGAUUACUGGCUUUGUCACAACCAACGUAAACCCUCCAAAAGGUAAAAGAACUUAUGCAAAAGUAUAAAAAUGAAAGAUGUGUUGAAAAAAUGAGGACAAUAACCAAACGCGUGCAACUCAAUUGCACUUUUCGAUAAGGAUAAACUGUACCUCUCCUCAUCAUUGAAAGAGAUGGGAUUAAAUGCCUCUCCUCAUCAUUGAAAGAGAUGGGAUUAAAUGCAGACGUGAUUGACAUAGAGAUUAUCACAAGAAAUUAAAUAAAAAUAAGUCUUUCUUGGUAACGAGAUGUUUGUUCUCGUGACCGUGUAGGUCUUUCUAGGUUCUCUGACGCGUGCCAUGAGGUCAUGGCAUGUUAUGCAACCAAAUAUAUCCAUUCUAUAUUUCUAUGGUAACUAUCCAUCGUUACCUCCUGUGAACCUAAGAAGAACAAAACCAAUCCAUAAAGCUGUGGAGGAUCAAGAACAACCUGCCAUAAGUUAUUGAUGAACUCAGUUAAUUGUUCGAAGCCUUAGAAGCGAAUCAUUAAAACUUUAAGCAACUAAAAUGUCAGAUGCCAAACAGAAGGAAAAUCUACAGAGCCAACAUCUGGAUCGGAUCAAUGAUGGCAUAUCAACAACUAAGGGAAAAAUCUGCUACUAAAUAUUUAUCUGAAACUAGAGGAUGACGUUGCACUUGCAUAACUCCGUUAACGCAGAUCAAUGGUCAUGCUCUGUCUAGCUUUGUUAGAAGUUUGAAAACUCUACACGGACAGGCACUAUUUGCAAGAAGACGUGUUCCCUAUGCUCAUCUUUGUACUGAGCUGGAAAUGCUUUUAGCAGAUAGCUGUGCCUCCAGAAACAAAUCGCAUGAAGUGGCCCACAAUUCUCUGGCAAGUCCGGUGUCGUACGAAACUGAAGAAGAGUUGAUAGUCCGGCCCCUCCCACCAAAGAAAUACACACCAGAAAUUUCCUAUUUUUGCAAGACAGCGGCUAUUAGUAAGCACUGUUCCAACAUAUAAUAGCAGCCACAUAAGAUUGAUACCAUAGAUUAUCAGCAGAGAAGGGAAAAUCAAUUCUGGAAACAUACUGUCAUACCGUAGAAUCAACAUUAAUGGAUUUUACGUCCAAUGUUAGUGUGACCUCAGUUGAGGAUAAAACGAGAGAGACUCAUUCAAGAUGGUUCAGAUAAGUGAAGCACCAGUACAGGAAUGCUUUACACCAGCCUAUUUAGUGGGAAAAGAUCACUAUCACCCAUAAAUGCAGCUGUGGUUGCCUAUUGAGAUGAAACCCAGGUGAUUUCAUUGCAGUCCCAUCUAGCAUAUAGCAGAAAUUAAAGAUAAUGAUUGCAGUCAGAAAAACUCACAGGAGGGGCAAGGGCUGCAUCCAGAACUGAGUUGACCGCACCUUCAGGUGAAUCCAAAAGACCCAUUGCAGUUAAAAAUGCAAAAGCUGUGUAGGACAGGUAAGGGGGAACUUCUCGCAUGAUACUGGUUUUCACUACUCCAGGAUCCACAGCACUGGAAAUAAAAAAGAAACAGGAUAACAUCUCAAUUGUGCUGCCAGCAUGUAUUCAUACACAAAACUUUAGAGAAAGACAAUCUACAAAGCCUAAGUACAUUUUCUUGUUUAUAAUCAACUAGUAUAGUAUCUCUGAUAACAAAAACCAGGUUUUCAACUAAAAAGGGAUAGCUCAUAGAUUUGUGGAAAGUGGUAAGUGGAAAGUUCAAAUUCAACUACCAUACAAACUUAAGGGUGAGAUUACACUGUCCUACAAGAAUGCUUAAAUCCAGAGUGGCAGGAUUGUUGAUACAUACAGAAUGGAAACAUGACAGGAGCUUUCCAAGCGAAGGCGUCGAUGAAGUUCAUAUGAGAACAGCAGAAGGCAUACUGUAAACAAACAGGAAACUCUUACUAAAGUUUGUGAGAAGAUGUGACAUUUGCUUCUCAAAUAUUGCUGUAUCUUUUAUUCUAUCCUUUCCUUUUUGGUGCUAGGCUUCUCGAAUAAAACAUGAAACUUACAUUUUGAAUAACCAUAGAUCUGUGCACAUGGAUACUGUUUCAUCCUGAAGGAACUCUUCCCAAUAACACUUUCCUUGUCAAAUGUCGCACCACAUACUGAAGAAGAGGAGAACCGAGGAAAAGGAGAUUUUAAAUAAAUAAAUAAAAACUAUGACUCUAAACCUAGUAUAACAAUUGCACUAAAACAGAAACUGCACAGAGAAGUUGGACAGCAAGAAACUACAAGCAAACAAUACCAACUAUUUGACAUCAUAAAAGAGUUCUGUAACUUAGACAUUGAGUACAGCUAUAUUGCAUGUUCUAGUUUUAGCUUGCUAUCUCAGGCACUGUUAAAGUCCUAGAUGGGCACCAUAUUUAGUUCACUAAUUGAAUGAAAAAAUGACAUGCCAUAAGGGUCAGCAAGCCCGGGUUUCACAGAGGAACCUCCUUGCAGGCUGGCCACCGGCUGCAAUCAGUGUUCCACAGAUAAAUGGAAGUGUUUCUGACCACAAAGUGAAAAUAUCUUACCGCUUCGAUGUGUAAAGGACGUGACAUUGACUAUCCGGGAUGGAACAGGGCUGUUUCUGAGAAGUGGUAAUAAAUGCUUUGUCAAAAAGAAUGGUCCCAUGUAGUUCGUUGCCAUCAUCCUGGUGCAUAAAGAGGUGGAGAGAAGAAUCAACAGGAGAUCAGGCAACAAUGCAUUAUGAAAGACUGCAAUUAAUAAAUUCCAUUCCAAAAAGAGAAAAGCAAAACAGUGGGAGAUGCCACUUGCUACCGUGGCAACAAAUCUCCACAAGUAAACUACAAGUUGACAAGGUAUAUAGGAAAAUCAAAAUCACUAGAACAUUAGACUUUCAAUUGGGAAAGUGACGACACUAUUAUCGUUACUUAUUUAGAAAUUAGAACAUAUGCAUCUCAUUAGUUAAAUCUAAAACAACAGAAUAUAUAUUCUCCACUGUGACUGCUGUAGUGUUUAGAUUGCCAAAUAUUUGGAUCUUUGGAAAGAAUAUUGCAAAAAAAUUCCCAUGGCAAUAAGAUAAUUACUCAUCGAAGCCUUCAGCUGUAAUUCUGUAGGAUGUUGCCAACAUUCCAGCAUUAUUUAUCAGAAGCUGGACUGAGGCAUGCAUAUUUGAUUCCAACAGCCAUUGCUCAAGGGAGCAUCUGAAGUGUAAGAUUGACUCGAUAGAUGAUAUAUCAGCUUGAAAAGCUUUAAGAUGGGCAUCCUUAUUGUGUUUACAAAUCUCUGCCACUCUCUGUGACCCAAAAAAAAAAAAAGAAUCAUUGAGAGCAUCAUGUAGAGCAAAGAAGCUAAAACGGAUGCCGCACAACAAGUACCUCUGACAACCUGUGAGCAGACCGUCCAACUGCAGAGAAAGCAUAAAUUUCAGUUAAAUAAUUGUACCUGCAUGGAUCAAAACUCAUUCUUCUUGUAACAAAGAAAAGAUGCAUUUUGCAUUAACUCUAAGGACAACAAACAGUCAUUCGUACAUUAUUUGUCACAUUAAGCAAUUGACAAGCUUUUCUCUUUGCUUGAAUCACCAAGUAAAGACCAGAGAACAUUCAUAUAUCUACCCAUAACUCUUCCUAUGAGAGUGUUCAUCACAGACUGGUGGCAUUUAUGUAGACAGCCUAUUUUUUUUUCCUCCUAAUGUAGCUAUCAUCAGGAUGAUCCAGCACAAGCAAUCACAGAAAAUCCAGGCAUGGGGUUGAACUAAGUGUUGCUACAUCCAUAUCAAAGGAAUGAGGAGGAUAAACCACAGACUGCGACAUUACCAAGGACAACAACGAAACCUUCUUUUGAAAGAGCAUAAGCAGCCGCUGCACCCAAACCAGAUGUAGCCUGCAGGCAAAAGGCAGAGAAAGCUCUCAGUAGGAUAAUCUAAUUGAGGACAUUUGCUACUAGCAAAAGAAAUCCGUCUUACGCCGGUGAUAAUGCAGAGAGGUCUCAGAGGAACUUCUAUGUUGGCAUUUCGAGGGUAUGAAACAAUUCGACCAAAAAGACCACGGCUGAAGAAUUGCCAGUAUGAGGCCAGCAAAGAGAACGUCCAAAGUACUGCCAUUAUCCAGAAGUCUACUGUACAAAUGAAACAAAAAGCCUCGACCAACUCCUUUGACAUUAUUCUCAUCUUUGCCACCAUGGACUUCUUACCUGUGUUGGCAAAGUGAAAACAACAAAACAAAUUCAGGAUACUAAUAAAUCCAACAGAAAAGUAUAUGCGCACGGUAAAGUCCUAAAGUUUAUUGGAUUAGGUAGUGGAACUCGAAUUUAAAUCAAGUGAAUGUCACAAUUAAGUACUGGAGAGACCCAAUCUACGGAGAAAACACGCACCCUUACAUGACCAGUGCAGCAAAAUGAGUGCCUUGUUAUUUGACAGUCAGAGUUGAGACCUCAGUGUUCAGUCUACAGGAAAAGUUUUAGCAACCUCGAGAGAGGUAAGAACUAGGCAGAUCUCACUAUGCAACCAUAAAUCAACUAACUUCAGGUGUACUUUCAAACAAAUUCUUUGACCAAGCAUCUGAGGGAAAUCAACAAUACAGAGUUCAACAUUCUAGUUCGUAAAUACUUUGGCCUUUUCAUUGUCAUGUAUGAAUGACGGUUUCCCUAUUGUUUAGAAUGUACAGCUUUGAAGUGUCUUAAUGCCACCUUGUCUUCCCACCACAGCAAACACAGACCCAGGUAAAGGAAUCAAAUGUUAAAUCCAGUCUUAAUAAAUUUACACAUCACAACACACAACCCAGUGAGCUUACUUCAUCGGUUAGAGUCACCAUGCUCACCCAGAGUAACAAGCACACCAUCAAAAGUAAGAUUAACAGAGAUAGCAAAUGAUAUAGCUUGUUUCAAAAUGAAAUUCUGUUCAUUUCCAAGCUCCAGACUUUCCACAUCAAAGCUUGACGUCUACUCACCCUAAACAGACGCAGCUAUAAAAUUAUCAUCUACCAGCAGAACUCGUGAAAUUCCACACAAUUCAAACGGGCCUACACGCACGUCACCGACCUAGACACGUUCCCUAUUAAACAUUAAACAAUCACCACCCCAAAUCAUCUCCAAGCUCAACGUCCUCACCAUGCAACAGCUCCAGAGCUCCAAAAAGACCCAACAAGUUUUUCGCCAACCUUCACGUCAACUCAAGCUCCCCCGCUCACUUCCUCCCUGACAAUACACACCCCCCACGAAGCGCGCUCUAAGAAGCAUUACGUCAAACACAUUGGGGACAUCGAAACUCCGGGCAGAGUUCUCCCACGAACCCAACGCAAAUGGGCAUCCACGAAAACAGGAACUUGCAGAGAGGCGAACGCGGGCGCUCGUGCAGAUCACUGUAAAGCUAUUGCAACGAAACGUGAAGGGUUGCGCCGGAAACGAAAGGGCGACUCACGGGGAACGUGAAAGGGUCGAAGGAACGAAGGAAGGCGAGAGCAGAGACGGGUCGCCUCGACUCGACACGGUUCUCGUCGAAACCAGGAGAGUCUUGAGAUUGACUGGAGGAAAAAUCCGAGCUUUACAAAAAGUUAGAUGCAGGAUGAGACGAACAUCCGGUUCUUCAACCCGAGUAAAAGCGUUGACACUAAGGGCAAACUUUUCCUUGCAUAUUAGGGAGAAUUAAGUGGGAAAUUUUCGUUUAUCGAAUUCGCCAACAUGUUUUCCAAAAAAAAAAAAAAGGAAAAAAAGAAAUCACUAACGUAAUUUCAUUCACUAUCACCCCUUUUGAAAAAUCAAAUCCAUGCAUGGGACCGAUUAAAUUUCAUUCGUCAAUCAGUACUCUUUUGUAUGAGAACUUGAAGAAAGAAUGACUCGCAAAAUACAUAAAAAAAAAUGGAACAUCACAAGAUAUGCAAAAAUUACUGUAAAAGAAUCAUAGAUUACAUGUUCUAACAAAAAGGAAUCAUUUAUUGCAUUUGUGUGAUGUAAACUAUACUGGAAUUAUUUCUUGUAAAUCUUGAGAGUGGUAGUAAUUGUGUCAACAUUUGGAAUCCUAUUAGGGAUAAAUAUAUUGAAAAUAUUAAAAUUUGUCACGAAGUUACAAUUUAACCCUAAAAUUUGACCAAAAAAAAAAUUCCAAUCAAAUUCUAAAAUUUGUUACAAAGUGUAAUUGAAUUUUUAAAACUUUUAAAAAGUACAUUCAAGUUCUAAAUUUUAUUAACAUUUUUCGUUUGUCAAAUUUGAUGGAGUUUAGGAAAAUACUUGAUUAUAUUAACUUGUCAAGUUGGCUUGGGCCAAGUUUGGCAUACCUAUAGUCCGUCGGAUCCAUGUUAAGGUCUACUAGCUUUGACCCUCCCUAGCUUUUGGGCUGGAUUGGGUCGCUGCGCCCAGCCCUUGCAGGAUCUCUCUCUCUCUCUCUCUCAACUUUCCCUAUGUGUUUUUUGGUUACUUUAACAUUUUUAUUUGUCUUUUGAAUUAAUGAUCUCACGUGGCAUGGUUCAAAUUACUGGGGUGUCAGAACCAAAACCAAAACUAAAAUCUAACCGAAAUUUCAUGCAUUUUUUAUUUGAUUUGGUUUUGGUUAGGAUAAUAGAAAGAUAACGGUUAUUUGUUUUCGAUUUGGUGAAUCGAACUGAAAUCCUUAAUACAAAUAAAUGCACAACUUAAAAUCCCUCCUUUUUCUCAUCUCUUAUUCUAUUUGAUUCCAAUGAGAAGGUAAAAAUCAAAAAACCAAAAACUGAAAACUGAAUUGAAAAUAAUCCAAUCGGAUUUUUAGUUCAGUUUGUAUUUGAUUCAGAUCGCAACUUGGUUUGCUUUAAUUACUUAUCUUAUCAGUUCGGUUUGGUUCGGACUUUAGGACAUUCGAACUAAAUCGAAACGUUGACGCCCCAUUAGCCACAUAGAUGAAGUCAUGUCUAUAAUUCAACAACGUUAAUUAUGAUGGUUGACGACAGAGUCAGCAAGAUGCAAAAGAUAUAGAAAUACAUCAAAAGAAGGAAAAAAUAGUUAGAGGACCCAAUCGCAGGAACAUCAGUACUAUAUCGAGAACAAAAAAUUGCUAUGAACUAAAUCAUACAUUAAAAGUAGGAAACAAGGAGAACUAACACGACCGUUAAUAGCAGCAUUGACAUCUAUGUCCAUGGAGAAUUUUUCUUACGCAACUACCACAGGUGGAUCCCAGCUAAUUUGCUGUCUAUCUAAUCCCGGGUGAAAACGGUCGGGCCUUGGUUCGGAGCCGUCGAGGACACACGACCAUCCUCAACGCUCCAAGCUCGUCCUCCUCCGGCGCAGUGGCUCGGCCUCAUAUCCUCUAAGCUUCACGGCUUUGUAAGUCACGGCGCCAGCUAUGGCUCCGAGCGGAGGAGCCACCAUGUACAUCCACAAUCCUUUGUAGUUCCCUGCGGCCACGGCCGGGCCGAGAGUCCUCACGGGGUUCAGGGAACCUCCGGUCGGCAUCCUGCAUUUCCCGGGAACAUUGUUAAGGAACAUUAUGAAAGCUAAAAUUCUGUAACAACGCGUCCAUACUUGCACGCCCGAAGGUGAGUAGUUUCAGUACAAUGCUUACCCUGUCACAAGAACGCCAAGCAGCACCGUUGCUCCGAUUGCAAUACCUGCCAAAUCUCCUACCUAUCAUCAGAAAAAAGGAACAAAUGUAAGUGAAAUGGAUACAUGCUGUAUACAGAUGCCACGAGUACAGAUAGAGGAAGAGUCGAUAUGCAGCAUGGCGACGUACUGCACGAGUGUCGGUCACCACCGCGACGAUCACGAACGCGAGAAUGAAAGUGGCGAGAAACUCGAGAGCAAACGCCUGUCCGAUGUCCACCGAAGGCACCGUGACGCCGCCGUUGGCAAAGGGAUGGAAAACGCCCUUGAGGACGUAGGAAGCACACAUCGAGCCCGCAACCUGCGCCGCGAUGUAGCCAGGCACCUGGAUCCAUGGAAAGUGCCAGAUCACCGCGAGGGCGACUGUCACCGACGGGUUCAGGUGGGCUCCUGAAAUGUGACCGAUCGAGAAAACUAUGAUCAUCACGGCGAGCCCAGCGCAUGCCGCGUUCCCAAGCAACGUCUCUGCUCCGUUGUACUUUUGGUUCACAAUGGGCCCGCCCACCGCGCAAAGUACUAAGAAGAAGGUUCCAACGAACUCUGCUCCGACCUGCAUCGUUCAUGUAAAUCUAAAUAAGAAAAUCUAUCCUAUCUUUCUUUCUUGGUUUCACUCGCUAUGAAAAGGCAUAAGAAUUAUCAGUUUAUGCUGCAACAGCUAGCGAGCCUGUCUAAUCUUUACUGAUCUUUGAGGUCGAUUGGGCUUUACCUUCCGCAACGAAUCAUACUUAUCCGGCUGGAGACGCCGAACACCUUCCGUUGCACCGUCACUCGGCGCACACCACUUGCACUGUACCACGGACCCGUCCUCCGGCAACGAUGAGUCCACUUGCAACGUCACAGAUGCCGGUUGGCACAUCUUCUCUUGCCUGGACAGCUCGAUGGAGAUUAAGGGAGACCAGAGGUCGCGAAUAAAGGAUCAAGAGAUCGAUGAGAAGAGAGAUCAAGACGAGAGGGAGCCUUCAGUCUGUUGCCUCCGUCUAUGAUAGUUGAUUGCAGCGACCCCAAAAGCAUUUUAUAGGAGAGAAGACAACGGCUUUAACAUCGCCAACAUCAUCUUCUUGUUCACUAGUUCGGCUUGUUGACUCGCUCCAUAGGAUUCGGUCAUUCAUAGUAGUUCGGACUGUCUGCACCUUGACUAGAUCUAGGGUUACUCUAUACAAGUAAUGAUUUGACUCGGUUUGGCAUGCUCAGAAAAACUUGGAGGGCACGUUUCUAUUUCUGAAAUUUAGGUGUGCAAGUCUACAUUUGUGGACCAGAUAUUGAAUAUUUAAGACCGAUUCUAUAAAGAGAAGAUCCAUCAAAACGUAUUUUCUUUUUUUUGUUUGGGGGGGAAGAGUUAAGGGCUGCGUUUGUUUUGAUUUCUUUUUUCUGUUUUUAAACAAUUUUUUUUGUUUUUUUGUUCCUGGGAACAAAAAAGGAACAGAAACGCGUUUGUUUGCAUUUUUAUUCCAAAAUUAUUUUUUUGUUCCCAGAAACACAUCUGGAACAAAAACAAGAAACAAAAAAAAAAGUUGUUUCUUGUUUCUGGAACAAAAUUUAGGAACACUUUCUUCUUCUCUCUUUUUUCUUCUUCUUUUCUUCUUCUUUUUUCUUUCUUUUUUCUUUGGCCGGUCGCCGGCCUCAACAAUUGAACCUUCUCAAACUGUUUCUUCUUAAGAACCAAAAAUAUUUGUGCCAAAAUAACAGAUGCCAAGAAGAACAAAAGGCCUUGGACACGGAAUGGAUCUUGAAGUACUAUUUCCGCAUCUCCUUGACCAAAUCCACCCACAUUAGGAUUACUCGUUAAUGGCUGAUCAAGUUUGAUAGAUUCGCCUUCGGAAACAAGAAGUUCUGGCCCUGGUGGAAUAAUAUCAACCACUUGACGUUCAUCUGACGCAUCCGAUAUGGUUAUUUCGUACCCCCCUUUUUCUUUUCGUAUGAUUUUACUUACUACACCAGCCGCUGUAGCAUUAUAAACUGUAUUGUUACUCUUGCUCCCAUCGGGAUAAAUCUGACCCAUUCCUCUGUUCCCGCCUACAUAUAUGGGAUAUUUUAAGAAGUGAACAUCUUUAUUAGUAGCGGGGUCCGGGGAAAGAAUAGGAAAGGUGACUUCACUAUAUUUCUGACCAGAAACAGGACCUAUCACAAGAAUAUUUUUUUUAUUGGGGCGAUAGCUCUGAAAAGACAGAUUGCCUAUCUUUUCUUUCAUCUCGGGCGAAAUACGAUCGGGAGGUGCUAAUUCAAAUCCCUCAGGUAAAAUAAGAACAGCCCCCACAUUCAAACCUCCCAUUUUACCAUUAGCAAGAACUUGUUUAACUUGCAUAUCAUAAGGAAUUCGAACAACUGCUUCAAAUACAGUAUCAGGAAGUACCGCUUGCGGAACCUCAAUAUCCACGGGCUUAUUAGCUAAAUGGCAAUUGGCACAUACAAUACGUCCGGUCGCUUCUCGUGGAUUUUCAUAACCCUGUUGUGCAAAAAUGGGAUAUGCAUUUGAAAUGGAUGUCCGAGCUAUGAUAUAUAUCAUCAGCGAUACGGAAAUAGAUCGAAUAAUCUCUUUCUUUAUCCAAGAAAAGGUGUUUUUAGUUUGCAUGGUCCAAUCAUUGAUCCCGAAAAUUUCUACAAUAAAAUUAGGUAGGUCGCUUGUAUAGUUCCCUAUCCACAAUUCUGCUAUUUACUUUAUUGAAAUCAUUUUACUGGAAUAUAAGGAGUAGGAGAAAUCCCUGUAGGGUAGAAAGAGUAAGUACGUCUUAAAAUGGAAAUGCUUUGCUUAUGUACCUUAUGUUACAAAGUAACAAAUAUUCUAGUUAGAUCAGUCAUUCAUUGAAUGAUAAAUCACUACAAGUGAUGGAGAUAUACGAUUUAAAUAGCGGAAGAUCCAAUAUUUAAAAAUUGUAUCCAGAAUGACUGGAAAAGUAGAAACAAGACCCGAUAUAAUUUGAUCGUUGUGAGCAAAUCCAAAAUCUUUGUAGACAUAGCCAAUCAUUAGUUCCCAACCAUGGGGCGAAUGGAAUCCGAUACAUAAAUCAGUUAAUAAAAGAAUAGAAAAAGCUUUUAUUGUGUCACUUAAGUUAUAUAGGAAUUCUUGAACCCAAGAGUUAAGAAUAGCAAGUUCUUCAUUACCCAGAAUAGAAUAACCACUUAAAAUAAUGAAAGAGGUUAUAUUUGUCGAUAAGUGAAAAAUCAUAUGGAUAUGAUCCUCAUUGUGCAUCUUGAUCAAUUGGAUCGUUUCUUUGUGGAUUCCUAUACGAAGUGUUUGUAGAUGUGUUUCCGGGUAUUCUUUUAUCAUUUCGUCCAAGAGUAAGAGUUCUUCCAAUUCGAUGAAUUUUUCUAGAAUACUCUUUUCUUGAAUAUCAGUCAAAAAAGUUUCGGAUUGCCUAGUAUUCCACCAAUUAGUAAUCCAAAAUUCAAGACUUUUAUUAAAUGAGAGAGAGAUCCACCAGGGCAAAAAUACUAUAGAUGUAAGAUAUAGAAGAGGAAGAAAUGCUUUCUUUUUUACCAUUUUUUCAUCUUUGAAUUGUUAAUGAAUCCACCUCAUUUGUUGAAUCUAUGUGAUCUACUAUUUCUAUUAACCCUAAGUUCUAUUACAGGGCAUCGGGCCUCGGCCAUGGCCGGCGACCGGCAGUCGAGGGCCGGUGAGGCCGAGCGUCGCCGGCCCUUGGUGAGGCCGACCUCGCGCCGAGCUAGGCGAGCUCGGCCUCGCCGGGCCACUGCCAGGUCGGCAUCGCCUGGCAGUGGCCCGGCGACGCCGAGCCUCGCCAGCCACUGAUUGUCACUUGCUUUUAGUCAUGCAUUCAAAACUGUAAGAUUCAUGCACUAUAAGAUAACCAGACAAGCGAAAAAAUGAUGUGCAUUUCAGUUGAGGUGGCAAGACCAAUUAGAUUGAAUUCAAACCAAAUAAAGCUUGACGCAUAAAAGAGAAAUGUUGUGCAUUGAGCGAAUAUAUGACAAAAUAAGUGCAAAGAGAGUCAUUGAUGUUCUAGCACUUUGGCCAAUUGAGUUCUUAAAAUUUUACUUUGCUUAAUUGAAUCCUUAGCAUUUUCAAUUUUAAUCAAUUGAGUCCCUCAAGCUUGAUCCUCGGAAAUAGCCACAUGGCUAUGAUUUUCCAAGUUGAUAAGAAGAUGCUCGACAAUAAAACCAGGUGAGCCUCUCAAGGGCUUCAUUGGCAUAAUCAUCAGUAUCACUUCGAUUUUUGGGUAUACGUGCUACACCGCACAGAGGUCUAUCAUUUCUUGGAUAUACUUCAUACCUCCCGUAGUGCUACCCGAAACGGUUUUCAUACCUGCAAAAAGUUCAUUGUGAGCAACUUACUUUCUUCACCUAUCAGGUAUCAAUAUUUCAUUCAGUAAUGAGCUUUGAGAACAAAAACAUACCGAGGUUAAGGCUUGCUGCAUUGAAUUUAAUUUCGCUUUGGGACCCAACCGAUGCUAGAACGCCACCCGUCUUCAAAAGAGACAUGUAAGGAUCAAAUGGGUGAUCAGCAGAUACCGUGUCAAUUAUAAAGUCCAGGGACUUAGCCAUGGCUUGCAUGUUACGAUUCAUCAGAUCACGGCAGCACUUGACAUCCAUGGAUCUAAAGUAUUAAUAAUUCAAAAUCUUCCCGUUUACCUUCAUAUGUUCUUGGUCAGAUGAGAUAACGAAAUGGUCAGCACCAAGCAAGCUCAGUGCUUCCUCCUUUUUAGAAAUGCUUGUACUGAACACGGCAACUUUCAGUCCAAAAGCCUUCCCAAGCUUAAUUGCCAUCUGACCGAGCCCACCAAGUCCAAUUACGUCGAAAGACUUACCCGGUUGGUUCAUCUUGUGACGCACCAUUUGAAUGUAUACUGUGAUUCCAUCACAGGGCAAUGGUGCUGCUAAAGCCAACGGGUAGUUUUCUGGAAUCCUAAGGCAAUACCUGUCAAUGAAGCACCACAAUUAAGUUUCCAAAUCAUGUAAUUUUUCUAUUCCCCUCGAUCAUGUCUCUAAGGGACACGAUAUUCCUGUGACUGUUGGAUACAAGAAUCCGUGAAAGCAUAUACAUUUCAUUACCCAUUUGAUCUAACACUUACUAUCUAACUCUUGGGAACAAUCUAAAAAAAGGGAGGAAGCGGAGACAAAAGGCAAGGAUUGAGCAAUUUCCAUCUCUCUCUCUCUCUCUCUCUCUCUCUCUUUUAAUUAAGGGUUAAUAUCCUAAAAAAUCCCAAAUUGGUACACAUGUAACAAAUUUACCUUGACAGACUAUAAAAAACUCUAAACUUAUAUAUUUAUGACAAAUUUACCCCAAACUAAUUUAUUUGACCGCAAAAAAUCUCAAAAUGGUAAAUUUGUAACAAAUAUACCCUUCACUAAAUUGGAUUAAUACCACAAAAAGAUCACAAAAAUUGUAAACCGUGACAAACGGAGCAUGAAAUCUCAAAUUGGUAUUACUAAUCAACUGUCACGUGCCAUUUAACUUAAUAAUUUGACAGUAAAAUUUAAUGAAAACUAAUAGAGGGUAAAUUUGUCACAAGUGUACUAGUUUAGAGUAUAUUUGUCAAAAGUAUACCAGUUUGGAGUUUUUAGUGGUCAAAAAACUAGUUUAGAGUAAAUUUAUCAUAGGUGUACCAGUUUUGAGUUUUUUAGGGUAUUAACCCUUUAAUUAAUUUAGUUUUAAAUUUAAUGUUAUUAAUGUUUCAUGAAAAUUCAUAUGUUAGAUUUAUUGGCUCACAUGUCAUUGUCACUUGAUGUGUAUGAUAUAUAGAAUAGUCCAAGAGUUUUGACUUUAGAUGCUUGGGAACUCGCGAAUGGUCAUACAUUGUCGGUUACACAUUCAAUAUGAUGUAUUAGCUAAUCAUAGUCCUCUAACGGUUUAUAUUUGCUUAAUAUAUUUCAAGAAUAUUCAUUUGUUAGACUUGUCCGCUCACACGCCACUGUCACUCGAUGUAUAUGAUAUGCAGAAUAGUCUAAGAGCUUUGACUUUAGACACUUGGGAGUGUCUAUGCUUGUUUUAUGUCUGUUAUGCUUGCAAUGCUUCUGGUUUUGAGUGGACAGUACAAAUAUUUAAGUCCAUGUCAAUUUGAACAAUUUUCUUUAUUAUAGAGCAACCGUCUUUAAUCUAUUGUGUUCUUGACCACAAAAAACCAAAUAACAAAUAAGUAUUAAUUAUUGUAGGGUCCAACAACAAUCUUUAAUCUAUUGUGUUCUUGACCACAAAAAACCAAUUAACAAAUAAGUAUAAAUUAUUGUAGGGUCCAACAGCAAUCUUUAAUCUAUUGUAUUCUUGACAACAAAAAACUAAAUAAUAAAUAAGUAUACAUUAUUAUAUGGCCCACUCCUUUAAAAAUUUGUUGCUCACAACAACUUAUUUAUUCUCAUAAUAACCCAAAGUUAUGCUAGCAAAGCUCUUUUGAGUAAGUGUAUUGAAAGUUUUAAAAACUUGUCACUAAAGUGCAUUAAGUCCUGAAACUUUCAAAAAAUACAAUUUAAUCCUAAAAUUUGUCACGAAAUGCAAUUGAGUCUUAAAAUUUUCAAAAAGUAAAAUCAAUUAUAAAGAUUUAUCAAUAUUAUAAGGGACAAAACCAAAAGCUGCAUGCAAUAAAUCAGACAAAAUUCAUUAAUUUAUGACCAUCAAGCAAGCGUCAGACAUUAGCAAAUGAAUGUAUUAGCAAUCGAAAAUACAUCGAAAACAAAAAGUUAAAAGCUCAUAUCUACCUUUCAUUCUUAUGCUUUGUAAGCCCCUCUGACCUUAGUGACCGCAAGGAUUUUACUGUGGACUCAAUGAGAUCCAUCUCAAGCUCCACCCUUUCAUGUGUCCAGCACUGAAGCAAAAGGAAAAUCGCAAUAAUGCGAUGAGGAUGAAACUAACCCAUUGAAUUUCUGAGUAAUCCAUCAAGUACAAGUUACCCAUCAUUCGGCCACUAAGCUCCUCCACUAUGGCCCUCAAUUGCUGGAUGCUUACUACGAGCGCUUCAUCCCUUCGUAUGAAGUCAACAUUUCUUUGAUUCACACUUUCUUUGCAUGACAUAUUUUAAACCUACAAGUAAACGUUAGUCACAAAAAUCCUCACCAAUUGCUCCCUCACGUGUUUCUCUCAAUGUGUUUGUCACUCCCCUCGUGUUUAACUCAAAUUUAGGCUUUUUCCCUCUCGUAUUCUCUUUUCACAAGUUCUUUAUUGGACUCAAAAUCAGUCUCUCAGCCCCCUCACGACAAUCAAUCAAAAUAAUCAAACAAGAUUAGAUUACUAUUAAUUUUGUUUCAGCAAGUAACAAUUUCAAACCAACAAGUAUAACUUUCGAAAUUCUAAUUGAAACGCAAAUCACUACUGAUUUUGUUUCAAUUCGGUCCACAGUCGCCUUCUUGAUUUUUUUUUGUUCAGCUUUUUUUUUCUGCUGAAUCUUUUUUUUUUCUCUAGCGCACUUUUUUUUUGUGUGCGUUUUCUUUCUCUUCUUUUUUUUUUUUUACGAACUUUCUUUGUUUUUUUUUCUUUCUUUUUUGACAAACUCAGAUACAAUUUAAGAUGAUAGGAAAAAAAAUAUUAAAACUAACAGCAAACAAUUACGUAUGGAAGCACAAAAGUAAUCAGAUCCCUAAAUUGGCUAGAACCGAAACCCUAACUCAAUAAAUCUCAAAUUGCUGAAUAUAAACAGAAAAUUAAAGAUAAAUAGACAUUGUAGAAGUAAGCUCUGAUACCAAAUGAUGUCAAUCGUUGUGGAAAAAUCAUUCUACGAAGGCCUGGAUGGUGCGAAUUGCAAACCUCGACCUCCAAUCAAACCUGUGAUUGAUAACCUCGAUAUGAACGUGAUCAAACCUACGAUUGAGAACCUCGGUAUGAACGUGACCUAUUGACAAACGCAUGUCAACCAACCAAACCCACGAGCGAAAGAAUAAGGUUAAGUUCUCAAAAAAUAGUAGAAAAGAAUCUCUCAACUUUUUUCAUCCAUAUAUAUAUAUAUAUAUAUAUAUAUAUAUAUAUAUUGACUUGGUCAAAUAUUUGAUGAUCAGAUAAUCAAAUUGUGCAAAGAUUUCUAAGAUUCUUCAAGAUUUAAUCCAAAGCCAUCUCUACGCCGAAGAUCAUGAACCAUGACGCUAACAGCUUACUUGAAUUGCUUGGCUCGUGCUCGAGUAAUUGAACCAGUAGGAAUAGACAAUGGGUCUCUAGCACCACCUCAUCGAUAUGGCUUGAUGUCCACAUCAUAAUGCAUGCGAAGGAACAAGCCGAUUGCCACUUGAUGUUAGUCAUUCAUGCAAAACUGUAAGAUUCAUACGCUAUAAUAUAGCCAAACAAGCAACCAAAAAAAAAAAAUAAAAAAUAAAAAACUAAAAAAAUGAUCUGCGUUGCACUUGAGGUGGCAAGGGCAAUUAGAUUGUAUUGAAACUAAAUGAAGUCCGUUGCAUUAAAAAGACAAUCAAAUGAUGCAUUGAUCAAACCUUCUCUUCCUUCUUCUUUUUCCUCUCCAGGUCUUCCACGCCUUCCGACUUGUUAUCCGGUUGAGACUGCACGACCCACAUCGACUCAUCAAUCUGAUCAUUACAAUCAUAGACUUGCCAUUUCCACAGCUAACCCAAUAACUCAAGCUACAAUCAGACGAGCUUCCACCCAAGAAAACAUACCAUUUCGAUGGUUGGUAAGCGUGAGACUGCAACCAAAGUUCGAUUCCGACAAGAGAAAGCACCGGGACAGAUGGUUGAGCUCCGUUUAGAAGUAGACCCAACAGCCGCCGGCGAACAAGGGUGGCGACCGUGACUUCAAAGAGACGACUUGACGGCGACCGAGCUCGGCGGAGGCGAGGGCGGCGGGACUUGUCAGCAGGGAUUUUUCUGACAGUGUCAGACUGGCACGACUCUGACGUUUUUUUAAUUAACUAAAGAAAGAAAUUCGUAAUACGACGUGGGCAGCCCGCAGGAGGGCGAAAUAAGAGUUUCCUGUUCUUAUUUUAUUUUAUUUUUAGCCUUUUCUGCUUAUUAGCAAAUAAAAUUUAUUAAUUUGACACGAACAUAUAGUGGUGUAUUUCCUACUAGUAAUAUAAAUUUAUAGAUUUUAAGGGAAGACUUGGAUCGUAAUUGUCAUUGGAGAGGAAGUGAAUGAUGAUAUAACAUGAGUUAAUAGACGUAAGUGAAAAAUGUCACAAAAGAAAUCGUGUUCCGAUAUUAAUUUUGUCAAUAUAUUGAAAAGGCAACAGGUUUCGUAUUCUUCUGGACAGAAAUGAAAGGUCAAAGGGAAACGAGAAGGACUGAGCAAAUAAAUGACAAAAUAUGAGCAAUGGAAGUCAUUGAUCGUUUGCCGUUUGACUGAUUGGAUUCUAAAUAUUUUAUUUUCAAUUGGGGUCUAAAUAUUUAUUUGGUCCAAUUGACUUCUAAACAUUUCCAAUUUUAGUCAAUCACGUCCCUCGAAUAUUAUUGUCGGAAAGAGCCACAUGGCUGUGAUUUUCCAAGUGGCCAAGGAGAUGCUUGAGGAGAAAACCUGUAGGAGAGGCGAAGCCAUUCAAGCAGAACUCUCAAGAAGCCAAUUUUUCAGACAGUUUCUCAAUCAUCACAUAGAAAAGUACCAGGAUUUCAUUACCCAUUUCACUUAUUUCUGCUAUAAAACUUACGGGUAUCGAAGUAUAUCAGGCAUAGUUUAUUUGUACUCCAGCAGAGAUAGUAAAAAGGCACAGAUGAUGCUCUCCUCUAGCUGAAACUCCCACUUUUCCUCUCUGUGUGAUCAGCUUUGCCAGCAACAAUUUCCAACUUCCCAAAUUGAUGUUCAAAUUUAAUCAAAUAGACUCAGAGAAGAAAACACACGAGAAUUGUUGCUAUAACUCUUGUUACUUUAUUCAUCAAAACAUCCAAAUCACUUAGCAAGAAAAUAGCUAUAGAACAACAACAACAACAAAGACCCACUGACAUACCCCACCGACCAAACAUGUGGAGAAACUAACUCCUACAAAAAAGCCACUUCCUAUUGACUAGGACUCCACUAUUACAUUAUUGAAGACACGUAAAAACUGUAAGUUAACUACUUCAACAAUUGAUGGUGUCACUUCAAGGAGUUCUCAAUGUCGAUCACGAAUCGAUACUUAACAUCUCUCUUGAUGAGCCUCUCCAGAGCUUCAUUGGCAUAAUCAAUCGGUAUCACUUCAAUAUUUGGGUAUAUCUUCUGCGCUGCACAUAGGUCUAUCAUUUCUUGGGUAUCCUUUGUUCCUCCCGUUAGGCUACCUGAAACAGUUCUCAUAUCUGCCAAACGUUCACCACGAGCAACUUAGUUCACCUAUCAGGUAUGAAAUUUCAUUUAGUAAUCAGAUUUGAGAACAAAAACAUACGGUGGUUAAGGCUGGCUGGACUAAAUUUAACUUCGCUCGAGCCGACCAAUGCUAGAAUGCCACCCGUCUUCAAAACAGACAUGUAAGGAUCAAAUGGGUGAUUGCCGGCUGCCGUGUCGAUUAUAAAGUCUAGGGACUUAGCAAUGGCCUGCGUGCAUUGGAUUUAUCAGAUCACAACAGAAUUUGACCACCAUGGAUCUCAAUGUGGAUAAUUCUAGUUUUUCCUUUUUUUACCUUCAUCUGCUCUACGUCAGAUGAGAUAACGAAAUGGUCAGCCCCAAGCAGGCUCAGUGCUUCCUCCUUUUUAGAAAUGCUUGUACUGAACACUGUGACUUUUAGUCCAAAAGCCUUCCCAAACUUAACUGCCAUAUGACCGAGCCCGCCAAGUCCAAUUACACCUAGAGACUUACCGGGUUGGUUCAUCUUGUGACGUAUCAUUGGAGUGUACACCGUGAUUCCAGCACAGAGCAGUGGCGCUGCUAGAUCCAUCGGGUAGUUUUCUGGAAUCCUGAAGCAAUACCUGUCAAUGAAGCACCACAAUUAAGUUUCCAAAUAACACCAAGAGAGGAAGUGAUUUCCCAAUAGAAUCAGCAUCCUGUCUUUUUUGUCUAAAAGGAAUCAAAUCACAGAGCCAGAAAUCCUAUCUUCCGCAUGCUUGGGAAUGUUACUUGCUUAGACCACAAUUCAGCAUCAUGUUGUUUCCGUGAUCCUUGUUCUGACCACAAAUUGCUCAAGACAAACAUUUCUUGCUGUAGCAACGAAAAUAACUCGAUUAAAAUUAAGAAAAGACACUUGCUCUAAGAAAGGAAACUGGUGGCAUAUCACAUAUGCUUGACUGAACACGUAAUUUCUCUAUUUCUUUCAAUCAAUUCCUCCGAAGGACUCAAGAUUCCUGUGGCUCUAUCAGAUACAAGAAUUAGUGAAAGCACAUACAUUUAGCUACCCAUUUGAUCUUAUACUUAUGAUCUAACUUUAACAAUCUAAGGACAGCUUAUUCCAUUCUUGACAAUGGUUAUUGAAAAGAAAGAAUUUCUUUUUGCAUUUAAUAAAGCCAAUUCUCCAUUGAAUGGUCUGAAUGGUAAUUGGAUACAGAGGACUUAAAGACCCUCCAGAGCCGUUAUAGAAAGUAUCUUUAUCCUUUUCCACAAGAUGCAUUAUGCUACUUCUGGUCACAAUCAGAAUACGAAGAAAAUUAGCAGAGAAGAAGACAUGACAUGAAAUCUUUUUUUGGCCACCAUGAUUUGAAAUUCUUUCACAGUGCAAAAUGCUGCCUAAUAACAUUGUGUUAAUAAGCAAUUACCUUUCAUGGACGACAAUGUGACUAGAAUAUCCUCCCUUUGUCACUGUACCGUCCGUAUCGAUUCGGUCAAAAGUCAAAACCAUCUUUUCACAAUGGACUUCUAGCCCGUCAUUGCAAUACUCGCACUCUCUGCAUGAAUUGACAUAAGUUCCCACACCCACAUGAUCGCCAACUUUGAAGCGUUGGACACUGGAGCCAACCUGUUUCACAAUUCCAACUAUCUCGUGCCUGAAUCAAUCAAAAAAGUCAUUCGCAAAUUUUGUUCAGAGAAUUAUUAGGAUGGUGCUAAGAAAAAAGAUUAACAUUCGAAUCACGCUGCAUCCUACCCUGGCACCAGAGGAUACUUGGAGGUUCCCGACAUAUUCCUAGUCCAAGCCACAUCUGCAUAGCACACUCCGCAGUGCGUGAUCCUAAUCGAGACGUCAUCGCUUCCCACGGUCCUAAAGAGAGAAUUCCCAAACAGAUGAGCAUCUAAUCAAGCAACUAAUCAGACUCAGUUACCUUUUGUUCUCAUUUUUCAGAUCAAUAAACUAAGCGUGACUUACAAUAAUCAUACAUUCAACCCAAAAAAAAAUUUAAGAAAAGAGAAAUGAAAAGGAACCAAAUCCAUGACUAUAGGCAUUUGUCUGAAUAGUACAUACAACCUCAAAUGCUCACAAAGGCAGCACCCGAAUCCUAAUGUCUGCCAUGAAGUUCUAAGCAACUCAUUCUGGGACAUGACAUAUCAUGCGUACAAACAAUUCUCUACCCAGAAAUUAGUGCAUACACAACAAAAUUUAUAAAAGAAAAACGAAAUGGUUUGGUCAAUGUGGAAAUUUAAAUAUAUGACAAGCAUCAAAAACUGUUUUGCAUUACAGGUGAGAGGAUAAGACCUGAGAACACUGUAUUGAGACUUAUUCAGACAAAUACUUCAAUAGAAAUUGAAAGUAUAAGGAGCAGAUGAAUUAAAUAAAGAACAGUGGUAACAGUAAUACCUGCGGCUGAAUUUGUAGGGGGAGAGACGUCCAGAAGGAUCUCUGGCAGCCCAACCAAGACAAUCUUCCUUCGCACCCUCUGAACUCAUCGUUCCUCACCGACCUCAACUGAAAUCGACCCACAAAAAAAUUGCUGUGUUAAUCUCUCAAUAAGCUGAAUUAUGGAAGAAGAAGAAGAAUUAUUUUCGUGAAAGAGAAAUGAAGAGAAAAUCAAACCGGAAAACAGAAGUUCAAAUGGUCAAAAGGCCAAAUGUCACGAAGACUUGGCAAUUCCGUUUCCGUGCAGACAAGAUUUUGCGGUCUGACUUUUGAGCAAAGAGCGAGAUUAGCAGAGAGCGAGGUUGAGCGCUCAAAAACCGUCACCUCUUUAUAGAUGCCAUAGCGUCGCCUGUUCUUGAUUUUUUUUUUCGUUUUAUCUUGUGGAAAAGAAUUAGUGCCAAACGUAAGCCAUUACCCUUCACUAGCCAAUGAAGUAUGCAGUGACGUCUUCUGGAGUACGGUUCUUGGUAUUUUUAUUUAUCCUCCCAAUAACAAUUGCAUUAUUAAUUUAUUCACACAUUAAAUAUGUCAAUAGGCAACAUGUUGACGCAUAAAAUAUGUCAUGAUCCUCUAGUGGUAUGUAUUCGAUUCAUCUAUUUUAAGAAUAUUCACCUUCAUCUAUUUUAAGAAUAUUCACCUUCUUCAAAGAUAGUGUUAGUAUAUGCGGAAACAUGUGUUUGAUAUGUAUGCAAGCAAAAGAACUAAGGGACAAUGUGAGCAAGAAAUAGUGGGACAAAGUAAUAAUAGGAAUGUGUAAAAGAGAAUGAGGCUGAGGCGGUGAAGGAGAGAAACUUGAAUGGAAGUCAACAAUAGUGGCUGAAGAAGAAACUAGUAUGUGGACAGCAAGAGUACUUGGAGAAGAAGAAAAUGAGUUGUCAGCUGUACUAUGGCCUAUGGCGGUGAAAAAGUCAAAAAUGUCAUGCUUGAAGUCGGUUGUAAUUGCCUAUAAAUAGGCUUGUCGUUCAUUUAUUUGGUGUGUGUGAGGUGAACCCUUCACCUUGUGUGGGGGUGAACCCUCCACUGUGAGAGGUCUUAAACCUCCGCUAGGACCAUAUGGAGAGUGACUAUUCAACACCUCCAUCAAAUUAUUUUGUCUUCUUCAAUAAGUUCUUGACAGCUGGAGUUUGAUGAAGAAACUUUGCUUCAUGCUUUCCGCUACUUGCUAUUUCCGAUGCACGUAGACUUCUCUAGCCUAUUCUAGGAUUUCUUCUUCAACUUGGGGUUUGCUUGCUUGUAUUCCCAUGUGAAUCUUCUAGGUUCAGCUAGCAACCACCAUUCUCAACAAUUCUAGACAAUCUUCAACAUGGAUGUUGCUACCAACGUUCUCGCCUUCAUGAUUAAGUUAAUAGUUUCUAAACAGUUUUAGAGAAAAUGGAUCAUAAUUUUCAACAUAUAGUAUUUUGGAGAGAAAAGUAUUUCAGCAGAAUUGUUCAAGGAUUUACAGAUCACUACAAUAUCACCGGAAGCAAAUAAUUAUCCAUCAUUGACAUGAACGAUAUAGCAAAAAUUCUUUUACUUGUUUACCUUAAGUUUAGCAAGAUCUGCUUAAACGACAACCUUGAGUAUCUUCAAUUCCCUUUCUCUUGCCUUCAAAAAGAUAUUGAAAUGCAACGCAGAAUCAAGACAGAUUGUCAUUAACAAAGCUGUAAAAGCCUACUCAAUCUGGCAAAAUUGGGGACAGUGUUUUCCAGCGAUCUUGACUACCUCGGUAGCUGCUGUGCAAAUGGAUAGGAAUGCAUGCAGAGGGACAAGCUGAUUGUUACCUACUUUUAGUCAUUCAUUUGAAACUGUAAGAUUCAUGUGCCAUAAGAUAGCCAAACAAGCGGGCAAAAAAUGAUGUGCCUUGCACCGAAGGUGGCAAGAGCAAUUAGAUUAAAUUCAAACCAAAAAAAGCUUGAUGCAUAAAAUGAAAAGUCAUCCAUUGAGCAAAAAAGGGUGCGUUUGGUAAGGUUUCUGUUUAAAAAUUGUUUCUGGGAACAUAAAUAAAAAAAAGUGUUUCUGUUCCAAGGAACAAGUUUUGAACAAAAAAACGCAUUUGGUAAAUCUGUUCUAGAAAUAUAAAAAAAAUAGAAACACGUUUGGUAAGUUUGUAUAUUUUUUUUUAUUUCUUUUAAUUUUUAAUAUUUUUAUUUUUAUUUUCUAUUUUCUUUCUUAUUUUUCUUAUUUAUUUUUCCUUUUUUUCUUAUUUAUUUUUCCUUUUUCCUUUUUUCUUCUUUUGGCCGGUCGCCGGCCUCGGCCAUGGCCGACGACCAGCCGACAAGGGCCGGCGGCCUCACCCAGCCAUGGCGAGGCUCGCCGGCCGCUGGGCGAGCUCGGCCUCGCUAGAUCUGGGCGAGAUCGAGCUCGCCCAGCCAGGCGCGAGGUCGGCCUCGCCGCGCUGUGCCGACGGUGACCCAGAGCCACACCAUCGUCUCCCUCCACCGCAUCGGUGACCGCGCUCGACGCCUCCUCGCCGCCACCGGAUCGGCGACCACCCCUCCGCCUCACGCCCGAUUGACGCAUCUGCAGGUCUCGAGCCUUCGUUCACCACCGCCACAUCAGAUCUCACCACGCCGUGACCCACGGCUUCGAGAUCCGCUCGAUCGUCGACCCCGCGCCGGCCCACGACUCGACCGGCCGUCCUCGCCGCUCCGCUCCUAGACGUCCGCCGCUCGAGACCCCACGGCCGAGCCCCGCACCGCAGCCGCCGCCGCCGCCCAGCGACCCGCGACCCAGCUCCGUCACCCGCUCACAGGUGGAGAUGCUCGCAGCGGCUGUCGGCGCCGGAGAGGACGACGGUGGAGAAGCCGGAUGGUCUCGAGACAGAGGCGGCUGUCGGCGCCGGAGAAGACGACGGUGGAGACACUUGCAGAAGGAGAGGCUCGCAGGAGAACACGAUUUUGUUUCUUUUUUGUUCUUCAAAUAUGUUUCAGAAAUAAGAAAUAAGAAAUUCUUGUUUCUUAUUUUUGUUUGUUUCUUAUUUUUGUUCCCUUUUUGUUUCUAGGAACAAAAAAACAAAAAAGAAACAGAAAUGCACCCAAACGCGUUUCUGUUCCUUUUUUGUUCCCAGAAACAAAAAAAUAGAAAUUUUUGUUCGUGGGAACAGAAACACGGUGCAAACAAACGCGCCCUAAAUGACAAAGUAAGUGCAAUGAGAGUCAUUGAUGUUCACGCCAAACGUAUGCCAUGACCAUUCCUUAGCCGAGAGAAUGUAAGCAGCGACAUCUUCUAGAUAGUGGUUACUGGCAAUUUUUUUUUUUUUUAUCCCCGGCCUGAUCAAAUUAUCCGAGUUAUAAACUCAGAAAGAAGUUAAUGAGCAAUCUACCGCUAGGACCUAUGAAGGGUCAUAUGUUGUUGGUUACACAUCGUGUUGGAAUAUAAUAUACGGAAAUGAAAAGAUCUUGCAAUUUACGUCAACGUGCAAACUCCAGAAAAAUAAAUGAGAAAUAAUAAGAACACCAUAACUUUACGUGAUUCGGUCCGAGUAUUAGUACCUACAUUCACGGGAGAGUUAGCAACAAAUAACCCACUAUAAUAAAAAAAUCAGAGUUUACAAUCGCUCACAUGCUUGAGUAUUUUCUACACCUAGAUUUCAACUCAAGAGUUUAUAAAUAAACAACUCAUUUUAACAUAAAUUCACGACAUAAAAUUACCACUCGUUCAAAAACAAAAUGCUCUACGUACGCCAAAAACAAGAAUUCCAGCAUUUAUCUUUUGGUUCGCGUAGAUACGGAUUUGUGUUCUUCUUUGCUUGAUCGUGCGGCGCUAUUCUAGACGUUCCUUUUGGCUCUUUCUUCUUCGUAGGGCUUCAGUAACUUUUUCUAUAAAAAAAAAAAAGGACGUUCUAUUUUAUAUAUGUGCCUAGAGUCAACAACUUUGACUCUGGGCCCACCAUGUGCUUCUUUCUUCAGUGGGAAGUGGGACGCUGCAGGUAAGGCGAAGAAACCUUCCUUUUAUUCAUUUUUCUUCAUAUUUCCUUUAUUUUAUGGGAUAUGUUUGGCAGAAGUCCUAAAACUUGUCCAGAAAGUGCAAUUGAGUCCUAAAACUUACAAAAAGUUCAAUCAAGUCCUAAAACUUGUCAAAUUGGUUCAAUUGAGUCCUAAAGUUAACACCGUUAAGAAAAUUAACAGAAAUUGCUGACGUGGCGCUGACGUCAUAUUUUAAAUGAUCUUUUUUAUUUUUCAAAUAGCUUUUUUAAAUUAUUUUUAUUCAAAAUCUUUAAAAAUUAGAUUAAAAACUAAAAAGGAAAAUCUAAAUUUAUUAAAAAAACAAAAUUGUUCAAAAAAAAAAAAAGAAAAAAGGGCGGUGGACUUUCGCCGCUGCCCAUCGCCGAAGGGGCCGGCGAUCGUCGCCGGCCCUGGGCGGGGGCGAUGGUCGCCAUCCCUUGCCUGGGGCCGAGCAACCGUCGCCCGCCUUGGGCGAGGCCUCGUCGGCCCUCGCUUGGGGUCGGCGAGGCUCGCUAGAUCUGGGCGAGCCUCGCCCUCGCCAGCCACCCCUGCCCAGGGCCGACAACUGUCGCUCGGCCCCUUCGGCGAUGGGCGGCGGCGGCGGCGGCGGCGGCAGCGGCGGCGGGGAGAAGAGGGCUGCUUUUUUUUAAAACAAUUUUAAAAAUAACUUUUAUAACUUUUCUUUUUAAUUUUUAGAUAAAAUGAAUAAAUUUAAUUUUUUAGUUUUAAUUCUUUUUUUAAAAAUGAAUAAAAAUCAUUAAAAAAAUCCACGUGGAAAAUAAAAAAUAAUUAAAAAUGAUACGUCAGCAUUUUUAACAGAAAAAGCUAACGGUGUUAACUUUAGGACUUAAUUGAACUAACUUGACAAGUUUUAGGACUUGAUUGAACUUUUUGUAAUUUUAGGACUCAAUUGCACUUUUUGGACAAGUUUUAGGACUUCUGCUGAACAUAUCCCUUAUUUUAUAUAUGUUGUGUGCCUAAAGUCAAGACUUUUGACUUUGGGCCCACAUAAAUAACCUUGUUUGGCUCCCGUAGAUAAAGAAGAAACUUUGUUCUUUUUAUUAUUAUUAUAUUUUCUUUCCUCUUUCGUAAACCUUCACAAAGUCCAACAAAGCUUCUUCUAUUGAUCGAAACAAUCAAAGACCCAAAAAGAAUUUCGAAUUUAUUUUCUUGUGCAUAAUCUUGAAUAUUAUCUUUAUCAGAAAAAUAUCUUCACGAUCAAAUAAUAAAAUUUUUAUCCAAGCGGAUCGCAUUUUGCAAAUACUCAAACUCGAGACAUAAUUUAACACAUCCGACAUGAUAUACUGCCCAAUUACUAUCCUCUGACAAUUUAUAUUUGAUUAAUCUAAUUCAAGAAUAUUCAUUUGUUAGACUUGUUGGCUUACACGCCACUGUCACGUGAUAUAUCCUAUAUUGAGAAUACUCAAUGAGCUUUGACUCUAGAUACUUGGGAGCAUCUAUGCUUGUUUUAUGUAUGUUAUGCUUGUGAUGCAUCUUGUUUUGAGUGGACUGUAGAAAUAUUUAAGUUCGUGCCAAUUUGACUAAUUUUUUAUCUGGAUAAGUGCAUUGGAAGAUUUAAAACUUAUCAUAAAAAUACAAUUAAGCCAUGAAACUUUGAAAUCAAGUUCUAGAACUUGUCACAUUGGUCUAAUCUAAAUCCUACCAUUGCAUUUUUGAAAAUUUCGGUACUUAACUGCAAUUUUCUAACAAGUUUUAGUAUUUCCAAUAUACUUUUUUUUUUUCAACCUCAGUAAUGUUUUUAAGCAACAAUGAGCUUGACAUAUCUCUGUUUUCGGAAUUUCAGUGGCUAUAGGAAACAAAAGGACGUCCUCUAAUGAAUCAACAAUCUUCUGCCAUGACAAAGCUGGAAGAGAGAUGAGUGUCUUCCAUAGUUAUAAAAAAUGUUCAUGCAAUAAUCUGUAGGAAUUCGUCUUCCUGACGUGCAUGAACAUUUCCGGCCAUGAAACAUUUCACGGUGAAGACAUUCUGUCACUUAAACCGGCAAAAGGAUAUCGAGCUUGUUCUUUUGGCGAGUGUAUUGCCGUCAAAUAUGCCUGAUUAAUUCCACGACUAUUAGCAUUUGUUUAAAUAGAGCAUACAACCUAAAAUGCUCACAAAGGUAGCUGGUACUGGAUCCUCAUGUCUGCCCAUGAAAUUCUGAGUGCCUCAGACAUGGCAUAUCAGGCACACAAACAAUUCUCAACCCAGAAAUUAGUACGUACACAACAAAAGUUUAAAAAAAAAAAAAUUGGUUUGGUUAAUGUGGAAAUUUAACAUCAUGACAAGCAUAAAAAACUGUUCAGCAGUACAGUAGAGAGGUCAAGACCUGAGAACACUGUAUUGAGACUUAUUCAGAUGAACACUUCAGAUAGUCACUGAAAAGCUAAGGAGCAGAUGAAUUGAAUAAAGAACAAUGGCGAUGAUAAUACCUGCGGCUGAAUUUGUAGGGGGAGAGAAGUCCUAGAAACCGUCAUAGAUGCCAUAGCGAUGGAUGUUCACGAUUAAUCUUUGAGCUUACUAUUGUGGAAAAGUAUUAGUGAUUCGCCAAACGUAACCCAUGACCCUUCCUUAACCAAAGAACGCAUGCAAUGACAUCUUCUGGAGAGCGGCUCCUGGAAUUUUUCCAUCCACAACCUAAUUGCAUUAUCAACCUACUGACACAUAAAAGAUGUCAAUAGGCAAUGUGCUGUUGCACCACUGGACCCGCAAAUGGUCAUCAAUGUCGGUUAUACCGCCAAUAAUUUGUACCUGACCCUUCAUAGUCGUAUUAUUCGAUUAAUCUAUUUAAAGAACAUUCAUUUUCUUCAAACAUGCUUUCUCACGUGCCACUGUAAUAUGAUGUUUUUGAUACACAAAAUACUAUCUCUUCAAGAGCUUUGACUCCUAUAUACUUGGGACAUUAAAUUGUUUUAGCAACAAUGAGCUUGGGAUAUCUCUGUUUUCGGGAUUUCAGUUGCUAAGGGAAACAAAAAGGACGUCCUCUAAUGAAUCGACGGUAUUUUGCUAUAACAAACCUGGAAGAGAGAUGAGCGUCUUACAUAAUUACAAAAAAAUGAUCACGCAAUAGUUGGUAGAAAUUUACUCUGCUGACGUGCAUGAACAUUCUGAACAAAAAACGGAAAACAUGCAUGAACAUUUCCGGCCAGGAAGCAUUCACGAGGAGCUGAGAGACACUCUAUUUCUUAAAGCAGCAAAAUGAUUACGAGCUUGUUCUUUUGGUGAGUGGAAUGAAUAAAUUGUUCAAAAAAUCCUAAACUUAUUGUCCGACCACUAAUUUAAUUCUAAACGUUUUAAUUUGAUCAAUGUUGUCUAAAACUUUUGACAAUUUUUUGUAGUCCACCUAGUUAAAUUUAGGUCGAAAAUCAGUGAUGAAGCAAUUUAGUAAACACUAGCUGUUUUAAGUGAUACAACCGAUAGCUGAUAUAGAUGAUCUUAAAUGAUGUGGCGUCGUUUCACAAUUUUUUAAUAUUCUUUCUUUUUCUUUUUUAGUAAUUUUUUUUCCUAUUCUUUCGUUCUCUAGUGUUCAUUUUCUUCCCUCUGCCGGUGGCCGAUGCCUCAGCAAUGACCGGCGACCAUCAUAGGCUACAAGUGAGGGCAUUGAGCGAGACUUGCAAGCCUUCUCCUAGAUUUGGGCAAGGGCCCUAUAGGCCCUCAUUGGCCGUAGGCAAGGUUGGGGACUUGCAAGCCCUUGCCUAGAUCUACCCUCUAAUGGGGUCAAUGCCUGCCAUCACCAAAGCCUCAAUGUCUUGCUCUGGAAAGAAAAUGAACAGCAGAGAAGGAGACAAUAGGAAAAGAAAGAAAAAAGAAAAAGAGAGGAAAGGAAAAAGGGAAAAAAUCUGAAAAUAAUAACAAAAAAUUGCAAAAUGACGUUGUUUCAUUUAAGAUCAUCCAUGUCAAUUGCCAAUCAUGCAACGUGGCCUACCUUGUUGGAUGUAGUAGAUUUAGGAUAUUUUGAAUAUUUUUCUCCUAUUAAAUAUGCCCGGUUUAUUUGAUAUCCUAAAAUUUGUCAACUUUGUGAAAUCAAGUUCUAAAAUUUGUUGGCACUCUUUUCAUAUUGGAUGAAGUUAAUGAAAUGACUUGAUUACAACUACUUGGUAAGUUUUAUGACUUGAUUGUAAUUUUUGAAAAUUGUCGGACUCAAUUGCAUCUCUAUAAUAAGUUUUAAAACUUGAUUACGCUAUCUAAAAAUUUUAAGAUUUUCAAUAUACUUAUCCCUAAAAUAAAAUAAAAAGGGCCUACCCCCUUUACAUGAACUCUUUAAUUUAAACGCACCAUGGAAUUUCCUGUCCUUUUACACAAUUUCAUUAACUAAGAUUUUAUUUUAUUUUUUGGGUUAAAACCAAGAUUUAGUUCUUCUUCUUCUUUUUUUUCGGACCAGCCAAGAUUUAGUUCAAAGAUAGAUAUUUUGAGGAGAAAAAAAUUUCAGCAAACUAUGCAAGGAUUUGCAAAAGAUCGCAACAAUAUUACCGGAAGCAUAUAAUUAUUUAUCACUGACGAAUGAUAUAGUAAAAAUUCUUUUAGAAGUUUACCUUAAGUUUAGCAAGAUCUGCUUAUUCGGCAGCCUUGAGUUUCUUCGAUUCCUUCUCUCUUGCCUUCAAACAGAUAUAGAAAUGGCAACGCAGAAUAUCAAGAUAGAUUGCCAUUGACAAAGCUGUAAAAGCCUACUCAAUCGAGCAAAACUGGGACAGUUUUUCCAGCAAUCUUGACCACCUCCGUAGCAUGCCGUGGAAAUAGAUAGGAACACAUGUAGAGGGACAAGCUGAUUAUCACUUGCUUUUAGUCAAGCAUUCGAAACUUUGAGAUUCAUGCACUAUAAGAUAGCUAGACAAGCAAAAAAAAUGAUGGGCAUUUCAGUUGAGGUGUCAAGAGCAAUUAGAUUGAAUUCAAACCAAAUAAAGCUUGACGCAGAAAAGAGAAAUGUUGUGCAUUGAGCGAAUAUAUGACAAAAUAAGUGCAAAGAGAGUCAAUGAUGUUCUAGCGCUUUGGCCAAUUGAGUUCUUAAAAUUUUACUUUGCUUAAUUGAAUCCUCGGCCUUUUCAAUUUCAGUCAAUUGAGUCCCUCAACCUUGAUCCUCGGAAAUAGUCACAUGGCUAUGAUUUUCCAAGUUGAUAAGAAGAUGCUCGAGAAGAAAACCGGGUAGGAGGUGAAAUGGGACCUAAGUGCAAGUUUUACUAUUUCAGUAACUACAAUUGAUCUGACAGAAGGUUGAACUUUCAUGGAUCUGGCACUUCGUUUGAAGCUAUACAAACAGAAAUCAGCGGGCUCAAGAAGCCAAUCUUUUAGACAGUUUCUGAAUUAUCACACAGAAAAGCACUAGGAUAUCUUUACACAUUCACUUAUUAUAUCCUCUAUAAACUAACAGUUAUUAGAGUAUAUUAGGCAUCAUUUAUUUGUAGUACAUUAGGUACAGAUGUCCUCUCUCUGAAAUUCCCUCUUUUCCUCUUCUUACGAUUAGCUUUGCCAGAAGAUGUUUCCAACUUCCGACAUUGAUGAUGUCAUUUCAAGGAGUUCUCAAUGUUUAUCACAAAUCGGUACUUAACAUCUCUCUUGAUGAGCCCCUCAAGGGCUUCAUUGGCAUAAUCGAUCAGUAUCACUUCGAUUUCUUGGUGUAUGUGCUGUGGCGCACAGAGGUCUAUCAUUUCUUGGAUAUACUUCAUUCCUCCAGUAGCGCUACCCAAAACUGUUUUCAUACCUGCAAAAAGUUCAUUGUGAGCAACUUAGUUGGCUUGCCUAUCAGGUAUCAAUAUUUCAUUCGGUAAUGAGCUUUGAGAAUAAAAACAUACCAAGGUUAAGGGAGGAAGUACACUAAUGGUGCCAUAAGUUAUGUACGGCGCUCACUUUGGUGUCAAAAAUUUUUGUCGGAUCACUUAAGUGCCAAAAAUUUUGAAAAACGAUCACUUUGGUGCCAUCGUCGAUUUGGUUGGUCGGAAAUCUGACGUGACAAUUUUUUAUUAAUUUUUUAUGCCGACGUGGAUCGUCGGAUAAUACAAUCAACAAACAAAGAACAAAACGAUGCCGUUUACCAUUUUCCCCCAAAUAAAAACCCCUAAAUCCCUAAUUUCGACUAGAACUGGAAGUUGAAAACCCUAAAUCCCCAAUUCGACCAUUUCGAGUGCAUAUUUCGAUUUUCUGCCAAAGUUAUCAACUUGCUUUUGCAAAUGGAGGACAAAAGUUUCAACAGUGGCUCGCAUUCCUAUAAGAAAAGCGAAUUAGAUGGUGAGUGUUACUGUUAUUGUGGGUUACCGAGUCCGAGAAGAAUAUCUUGGACUUGGUUGAAUCCCGGGAGAAGAUUCCAUGGGUGCGGCAGAUAUAGAGAAAGCUCGAAGUGCCAUUAUUUCAAAUGGGUUGAUAGGAAAUUCUCUAAUCGAGCGACAUAUGUGAUAUUGGAGUUACUUGAAGGCCAAAAUCAACCUCCAUCUAUGUUAAUGGACGAGCUGGGGGAUGUCGACUCAAUACAAGCUCAAAUGAAGGGUUUAACAUCUCUGAUGGACCAUUUGAAGAGAGAGGUUUCAAGGCUGAAAAUUGAAAGAAACUUUAUCGAGCGUUGAUUGUAUUCUUAUUCUCUUGGGUAGUUUAUUCAAAUGUAAAGUGAGUAAUGAGAAGAAAUUUGUAUGUCUACCAUAGUCGAAGACGUGGAAUAUGCACUUGUAUUGGAUUAUUUAUAAGUAAAAUGUGUUUUUUGGUUUGUUGCAAUUUUUAUAUAGAGCAGAAUGUUUUAUUGUUGUAAUCUAUAGGUAGAAAUGUAAGGUUGGACUUGGAAUGCAUUAGUUGUGAGCACUUAAAAAGUUUUGUUGUUUAGUUGUGUAUUGUCAAUGUUUGUUUUUGUUAGUUUUUACUUCAAAUAUAAUGGUUUACUGCAUUUUUUAUUUGGUAAUAGUUUGCUGCAUUGAAAGCAAACGGUAAUGGUUUGCUGCAUUUUUUAUUUGGUAAUGAUUUGCUGCAUUGAAAGCUUUUGAUAAUGGUUUGCUGCAUUUUUUUUAUUUGGUAAUGGUUUGCUGCAUUUUUUAUUUGGUAAUGGUUUGCUAGUUUGCUGGUUUGCUUCAACUGUUAAACCAUGGCUGAAUGGCCGAAAUUAAAGAAUGGUGCCAAAUUCACGAUUGAUCAUUUCAGUGCCAUAAGUUGUAAAUAGUGAUCGCUUAAGUACCAAGUUUUUAUAGAAGUGAUCAUUUAAGUGCUAGUCGCAAUUACAAAGUGAUCACUUAUGUUGCACAAGUUUUUUAAAAAAUAACAUGUUAGUGCCAAACGUCACAUUCCAAAUGCACAGAGUUCUUGCACCAGUUGAGUUGCUGGUGCAUCUUCUUGCACCAACCCAUACAGAUGUCGAUGCAACAAGAUGUACCAGCACCCAAAGUGCUCUUGUAGCAGCACAUAUAAUCAGAACCCCACAAAUUCAUUAUAAUCCACAACUUUAACCAACAACAGCAACAUUGCAGCAACAACAACAUUGCAAUAACAACAAAAAUAAAAUAUAUAGCAUAACUAACUUGCUAGCAUUCUAGCUAAAACCAACACAAGAGAAAAUGAAAAGUCAUUCCAGUACUUGCCAUUAACAUUGCUUGAUUGUUUACAAAAUACAAAAUACAAAAAAAAAAAAAAAAAACAUGUCUAACUUCACUCCCUAAUCAUCAAAAGUUCAGCACUUUCCUAAAAAAAAACAAUGGCAAUAUGCAAGCAGCAACUACCAUUGAUGAUAUAAUAUCCAGCACACUCCUAAAAAAAGAAAACAUGGAAAGAGACCAUGUCUAGCAUCACAUAAAAAGAGACCAUGUCCAACACCCUCCCAUCAGUCAAUAUUGACAACACCCUGAUCUCUUUUUCUUAUUAGAGCUUUGAAUUGAUUCAUAAUCCGAGCACUCUUUCGAACUGGAUGUGCAGGUUCUUAACUGGGCUUUCUGUCACCUCAUUUUCCUUUUCCUUGUUUUUUACGGCAGCUAUUUUUGUUCUAGCACGUAUCAUGUGUUGGUCCAUAUCAUCACUACUGCUCCCAAUCGUUGGUUGAGAUGGAACUAGUGAUGGGUUCUUUUUGGAUGGCUGUUUCGCAGCUAUACCCACUGUCUUCUUCUUCUUCUUCUUUGGAGCACUCUUCUUUGGAUGCGCCCUUAAUUCUUGAGUUGGCCCACCUUGAGAGAGAAGUACCUCUGAAGUUCUCCCAGGCUACAAGAACAUAAUGAUAUUGUCAACCAAAUGAAUUGAAGUACAACAAAUUAAAUGCAUAAGGCCUAUAAAUUUUACAUUCAAAAUAGUCAUUCCAGUACGUUCAUCUGUGUAAAUCCCAUAACCAUAUUGCCUUAAUUUUUUUCCAAGAGCCCCUUUUGUUCGCUGUGAUGCAUCAUUUUCAGCAACAACAAUCUGAUAUUGCUAGUAUGAGUACCUAGAGGGGGGUGAAUAGGUAUAUAAAGAGUUUUUCUCAAGCAAUUGCACAAUACUAGACAGUUGGAUGAAACGAUAAUCAAAGUAAGACUGAGAGAAGAGAAAAUUUAAUACGCGGUUUAUAGUGGUUCGGCUUAUAUCAAGCCUACGUCCACUCUUCUUCACUGACAGCCUAUUGGCUGGAUUCCACUAUGAACAAGAGAGAGGUUACAGCACAGCUUUGCCUUGAUUCCACAGUGUAGAUGUUCUACUACACCUCCUCAAGAUUUCUCACAAAUAUAGACUCUCUCUUUCGUAUACAAGUAUUCGCUCAAAGGAUUUGUCUAAACAAAAAGAAGUUUCAGACUUUGGAAUUCUUCUAUCGCGCACACCUUGAACAACUAAGACAGUCUUCCUUAUAUACUCCUUUAUGCCAUCAUACCCGUUGGCACUUACCAAAGGAAUUCCUCCAAUCUACCCGUUGAACGGAAUCAAUUAGGAAGAUUGUCCAAGCUAUAAAUGGAACGUGUUGAUAGCCCAUCAAUCAUGUUCGCCCAUACAAUCAGGAUCUCGGUUUCCAUAAGCAGAACCUUCCAAUAAUAUUUAGGCAAUCACCGGAUCUUCAAUUAUCGAAUCAAUCUUCGAUCAAUCAAAGGACUCCGUUUAUGUCUUCUCCAGCCAUGAGAUCUUCUCCAGUUGAUAAGGUUAAAUCCUCAACGAAACAUCCAGUUCUGGAUAACCUUUCUUCAACAAAUUAGAGACUGUCAAUGAGGAUAGACUUUGAGUCUUGAGUCUAGCUGUCCUAAGGUCUUUAGACUUUAAAUAGCAGAGUCUGCAAGCCUUCAGACUAGACUGAUAUAAACGAUUUGUCAACUUCAAAACACUUCAAGAAGAUUUCUCCAACAAUCUCCCCCUUUUUGAUGGUGACAAAACUUUCCUGCAGAUUUGGAUAUCUUUGACCUGCAAAACAUUUCUCAAACACAUAUACAUAUCUUAUAGAGGUAAAUGUCUUAACAGAAUAACACUAGAAUCUGCAACCACAGAAAAUAGGUUAGUCCAGUAUAUGAUGAAGCCAUCCAUAAGAUAUCAAUAUUAGUUAAUAGAAGCAGUCAAGUCCAAGUCUAGUUUACUUCUCAUCCAAACACAAACCAAAGUCAAAUAGAUUCAAACCACAAAACAAUCCAACAAAAACAAUUAAAAGUUGAAUGAAAGGUUUUUAAUCAAAUCUUGCAUCUCUCCCCCUUUUUGUCAUCAUUAAAAAGGAUGAGAUGAAGUUAAGAAUGCUUGGGAACGCGGACAAGCUGGAAAUCUUCCAUAGACUGAACAAUGCCUUCCAACCUUUUAAAGUCUUCCUUUAGCUGUGCAAUCUCCUCACUCUUGGCAUUGGCCUGAUUCUGAACAGAGAGGGCUUGCAUUUUAUCAUUCAAUAAACAGGAAGAAGCUUGACCUUCAUUCUUCAAGCUUUGAACUUCGCAUCCCAAGGCAUAAAUCUGACCUCGCAUCUCCAAAAGAAUAUCCAUGAUUCUGCGAAAAUCUGCUCCAUUAUCAGUUUGAGUACUUGCUUCGGCUCGAUCUGAUGGAGUAAAUGCAGAUGAUGGUAGAUCAGCAUAAUCUUGCAGGUUUGGCGAUGAAACUUCAUGACCUUCUUCUGGAAAUUGAGAUGCAUAAACAUCCUCUGGAUCUGCUGGUGAGCGACUGAUUCCUUCACUUGCAUCAGGACAUGAAGACUUCACUCCUUUCUCCUGAUCUCCCCCUGUUUCCAUGCCUACAGGUGGAGAAGAGUGUUCUUCAGGUUCUCCUUCUUCUCUUCUUUCUUCUUCAGGUCUUUCCUCCUCUGUUUCUUUUUCAGCUUCUAUUUCUUCUUCUUCCUUCUCCUCUGCUUCUUUCGUCAUUUGCUCCGAUUCUUUCUGUGGAACAAGACGACUUAAAUUCUUCAAAGCCAAUGCAGAGAUGGUGAUGUCUUCCUCAUCAUCUUCAUCCUCAACAAGGAGAGCUCUUCUUCUCUUGGAUGGAGCAACCAUGGGCUCCUUCCCUUUUCUUUUAGCUGCAGAAGAUAUUUGAUGAGAUUUUGCAGGAGUCUUCUCCUUGAAUUUCUCCAACUCCUUGCUCAGUUCUUUCAGACGCAUUUUGGUCACCAUUUUCAGACCUACCACCAUAUGAUCGCAUGGUCGAACACAAAAGAUUUGUAGAGGCUGAAUAUUCAGAUGUCUGAAUAACUUCGUAACAAGGCUUGGGUAAGGGAGUUGACCUCCGUCCUUCAUCAUUGCUCUAUACAUGUGAAACAUCACAGUGUGAGGGAGAGAAAACCUUUUUCCAAAGAGAAUGGCAUACAUCAACUUGGCCUCUGAACUUGAAACAUCAGUCUUGGAAGUCGAUUUCGGUCGGAUGCAAUUAAUCACAAUCUUGUGAAGCAAGAUGUUGAAUGCACCCAUCCUUAAGUAGGUGAUCUUUUCAUCUGUUCUCCUGUCCUUCACCAGUUCAAGAGUGGCCCGAGCAAUGGAAACUUUGAUUGGCUGAUAUCUUCCUCUUUCGACUUCUAACACAUCUGCCAGCAUAUUCAUAUCCACAACAUAAUCUUGGUUUUUAACGCUGAACGAGAAUCUAUUCGCAUCCAAAAAGCUUAGAUUUGAAUAGAAAUAUGCAGUUAAUUCAGCAUAGGCCUCUGUAGAGUCAGAGCAGAACUUUUCAAGUUGAAGAUAACUGAACUUUUCCCUCAAGUUCAUAUUCACAGCAUCCAGAAAAUCGAAAUCUACACUCCUAGGGUUUAUCACCCCACGCUUCAGCAAUUUCGAGUACAGAUCCUUUUGCUCCUUUGAUCUGAACAAAUCUCCCCUUUUUCCUUGGUUAUCAACCGCAACACCCAUUUUCGGUUGGAAUUGACUGUACAAUUUAUCAUCAUCAUUCCCAUCUACAGGAUUCGGCCCCCAGUCACGAGGAUCACUUGGGAUAUUUGCAAGGGUUUCCUCAGCCACCCCUUUUCGAGCAAUUCCCAAACUUUCCAUUUUUUUCAGAAAGAUAUAUUCGUUCCCAUGUCCUUUGUCUUUAAGAAAAUCAUCAAUGUAGUUCAAAGGAGUACGAAUUCCUUUUAGGGCACGAUAUAACUGGUAAAUAUAAGUGGGCUUUUGAACUCUUACAGGGUCUGCAUCCUCGAUGAUUUCUUCCUGUUGUUGAUGAUCAACGCCUUGAGGACUAGAUGGAGGAGAAUGACACUGUUGAGAAUGUUGUGGGCUCGCUUGCUGAUCUGGAGUCACUUCAUCUUCAGUAAGAUCGAAGUGCGUAGGCCCCUCACUCAUCCGCCGUGGUCCCCUGCUUGCAAUUCUCGAAGACUUUCUUGAAGAUGACAUCUUAGUUUUUGGAAGAUUCCUUGCUUGACUUUCCCAGGAAAGAUGACAACUUUUUAAGGAUUAAACGAAGAAGACAAACGGGAAUGGAGGAUCGAUGCUUUCUAGGGUUUUUGAGAGAAAAGUGAAGAGGAAUCGAUAGUUCACGAUCGGUUAAGAAGAGGGAUAAACGAACCAUCAUAAAGGAAAUAAAAAUAUGCCUUUUCAAAAUAACUGUCUUUUUCCGCAAAAAUAGCCAUUUCAAAAAUAACUUCCCUUUUGAAAAUGAAACGAUGCAAUAUUUACUUCAAUUAAAUAUAGCAACAAUUUAAACACAGUCUGACAAUCGUACCUUUUCAAGAUGAGAUUCAAGAGAGAAAGACUUACAGUCUGACGGACGUACCAAGACUGUCUUUCAGAUAAAGUCUUGUAAGUCUGAGUCUGAAAGUCUUUAGACUUUGAUAUCCUCAUACCUCAAAAUGUUGAGUCUCGAGCGUAUAGACUCAAAUUGAUUUUUCUCCAAAGGCUUUGUGAAUAUAUCCGCCAGUUGAUUCUUUGAGUCAACAAAUUGAAUUGAAACAUCUCCAUUUUGAACAUGGUCUCUUAUAAAAUGAUGUCGAAUCUCUAUAUGCUUUGCUCUUGAGUGGAGAAUUGGAUUUUUGGUGAGGUUGAUAGCGCUGGUGUUGUCGCAAUUAAUUUCCGUGCAUGAGUCUUCAAUUUCAAAGUCUCUUAGCUGUUGUUUUAUCCAUAGAAUUUGCGAAUAGCAGCUUCCCAGAGCUACAUACUCUGCUUCUGUUGUUGAAAGAGACACAGUGCUUUGUUUCCUUGAAAACCAAGACACUGUCCUGCUUCCAAGCAACUGGCAAGUUCCCGAAGUGCUCUUUCUAUCAACUCUGCAAUCGGCCAGAUCUGCAUCUGAAUAUCCCAUAAGAUUAAAGUCUCCCUUCUUAGGAUACCAAAGACCGAUGCUUGAUGAUGAAGCAACGUAUUUAAUGAUGCGUUUCGCAGCACUGAGAUGGGAUUCUCUAGGAUCUGAUUGAAACCUAGCAUAGAUGCAAACACUCAACAAGAUGUCAGGUCUAGAAGCAGUAAGAUAAAGGAGUGAACCAAUGAUGCUUCUGUACAGCUUUUGAUCAACUUUCUUCCCUUCUUCAUCUUUGUCUAUCUUCAAAGAACUUGACAUCGGUAUGUCGGUCUUUUUGCACUUUUCUAAUCCAAAUCUUUUGACAAGAUCAUUAACAUAUUUUUCUUGAUAAAUAAAGGUUCAUUCCUUCAAUUGUUUUACUUGAAGACCAAGAAAGAAUGUUAACUCUCCCAUCAUACUCAUUUCAAAUUCAUCCUGCAUAGACUUAGAAAAUUUCUUGCACAUAUUUUCAUUAGAAGAUCCGAAUAUAAUGUCGUCCACAUAUAUUUGAACAAGUAAGAAACUUUUGUUCUCCUUUUUGAUAAAUAAAGUAGUAUCCACUUUACCUUUGACAAAACCAUUUUGUAUUAAAAACUUACUUAAUCUGUCGUACCAAGCUCGAGGUGCUUGCUUUAAACCAUACAGAGCCUUCUUCAGUCUGAAGACUGAGUCUGGCUUCUUUGGGUCUUCAAACCCUGGUGGUUGUUCCACAUAAACUUCCUCUUGGAUGACUCCAUUUAGGAAGGCGCUUUUGACGUCCAUUUGGAAUAACCUGAAAUUCUUAUAACAAGCAAACGCAAGUAAUAGUCGAAUAGCUUCUAACCUUGCUACUGGAGCAUAAGUCUCAUCAUAGUCUAUUCCUUCUUCUUUCAUAUAUCCCUUGGCCACGAGUCUUGCUUUGUUUCGUAUGACUUUUCCUUUCUCAUUCAUCUUGUUUCUGAACACCCAUUUAGCUCCAAUAACAGUUUUACCUUUUGGUUUGGAUGUCAAUUUCCAGACAUCAUUAAUGCUAAACUGUCUGAGCUCUUCUUGCAUAGCUUCAAUCCAGCUUUCAUUAGAUAAAGCUUCUUCUAUGCUUUUUGGUUCAAUUUUAGAAACGAGAGCCACAACACUAGACUUUUCUCGCCUUUUGGAUCUAGUGCGAAUUCCUUCAUUCAUUUCGCCGAUUAUAAGAUCUUUGGGAUGACUGGACUUAUGCUUCCAGUUACUCGUUGAUCUGUCUGGUUGAUGAUUUCUUUCUUUGUUUGGAUCUUCACGAACAUCUUGAAGCUGGUUUUCCAGAGUCUGAGAUGCUUCUUGAGAUGUAAGCUUUGGAAGAUCUGGAGCAGGUUCAGACUCUUCUUGAUGAGUCUGACUUGAUUCAUCUUGUGUUGAGUCUUGGAAUUUGACAUUCAUUGACUCCUCCAUAAACUGGCUCUUCUUGUUAUAGACUCUGAAGGCUUUGCUUGAUGUAGAAUAUCCAAGGAAGAUACCUUCAUCUGAUCUUUCUUCAAACUUACCAACUUGAUCUUUUGCAUUUUUCAAUAUAAAACAUUUGCAACCGUAUACAUGAAAGUAUGAAACAAUAGGCUUCUUAUCUUUGAACAAUUCGUAAGGGGUUUUCUCUAGAAUAGGUCUUAAGAAGAUUCUAUUGAUGAUAUAACAUGCUGUUGAAACAGCUUCAGCCCAAAAUCGUGAAGAAAUCUUGCUUUCAAAUAAAAGAGUUCUAGCCAUUUCCUGAAGAGAUCUGUUCUUUCUUUCCACAACUCCAUUUUGCUGAGGAGUAUAUGGAGAGGAGAACACAUGAUUAAAGCCAGAUUCAUCACAAAAUUUUGUAAAAUCUUGAUUUUCAAAUUCACUUCCAUGAUAUGUUCUUAUACUUGAGAUAACACAUCCUUUUUUCAUUUUGAACCUUUUUAGCAAACUUUUCAAAAUACGAGAAGGUUUCAGACUUACUUGCAAGGAAAUAUACCCAAGUAAAACGGGAGUAAUCGUCCACAAUUACUAGGCAAUAUUUCUUACCUCCAAUACUCUGUGUUCUGGUUGGUCCGAAGAGAUCCAUAUGCAGCAACUGUAGUACAUGAUUAGUAGAGACAUGAUUUAUUGGCUUGAAUGAAUUUCUUAUCUGCUUUCCCAGAAUACAUGGAGUGCAUGGAUCAGUCUUUUGAUAAGGUAAUUUGGGUAGUCCUUGAACAAGCUGCUUUGAUGAGAUUUUGGCUAAUUGCUUCAUGUUAACAUGACCAAGCUUUCUGUGCCAUAAGCUUGCUUCGUCUUGAAUUGAGAUAAAACAUUGCGAUUCAUUUGGUUUCACAUCCAGAAGAUAAAUGUUUCCAUGUCUACGACCCAUGAAAGACUGAGUAGAGUCUUUACUGAUUCCAGAACAUAUUCCUUCUUGAAAAAAGAUCUUGAAACCAGUAUCACACAAUUGACUAAUGCUGAGAAGAUUGUAAUUGAGUCCUUCCACUAAGGAAACAUUACUUAUUGUGAGAUUUCCAAUUUUCACAGUUCCAAAUCCCACAAUACUCCCUUUGUUGUUUCCUCCAAAUGAAACUUUUCCACCAUUUACUUGAGCAAUCUUUAUAAAACAAUUUGAGUCUCCUGUCAUGUGUCUUGAGCAUCCACUGUCAAGAUACCACUUUACCUUUUUCUUGACGGUGACCUGCAUUUAAAAAAGAGUCUCAAGCUUUCUUUGGUACCCAAACUUUCUUGGGUCCUUUUGUGUUAGUAACAUAAGCAGUAUUAGCCCAUAUUCUCUUAACAGGUUUCCAAACCAUAGGACACUCUUUUUCAAGGUGAUCCGGACUGUUGCAUUUUGAACAUUUUAGAGCAUUUCUUCCUACAGAUUUUACAAAAACUUUCUUGAAGUGAUUUUUGUAAACCUCUCUCGAGAGUCUUUUCUUAAUUCUUUCUUUUACUUUAGGAAAAUCAAUCAGGGGAAUUGUUUCUUCUGUCAUACCUAAACCGGACUUAUUGAAGUAAGGUCUUUGAGCUGAAAGAAUUUUCUCAAGUUUUUCGGACCCUAUUGAAAAUUUCUUUGAGAUAUUUGAUAAGUCUGUUUUUAAAAAAGCAUUUUCUUUUAAAAGAUCAUCUUCAUUUUCUUUAAGAGUGGAAACAGUCAAGUCAAGACUUUUAACUCUUUCUACUAAAACAUUUUCCUUUUGUUUUAGAGCUGAGUUUUCCUUUUUCAGUUCGGAAAUUCUUUUGAGAGAAGUCUUAAGACUAAAACAUAAUUCAUCAAUAUAUUUAGAAACUUUGACAGGAAUUUUAAUAUCACUUGCCUCAAAUUUACUGUCUGAGUUUGAUCCAGAGUCUGAGUCUGAUUGUGCCAUCAGACAUAGAUUGGCAUAUUCAUUAUCACUUUUUUCACACUCUGUGUCACUCCAUGUUUUGGCUUUGAGAGCUUUUCGAAAUCUUUCAGCUUUUCCUUUCUUCUUUUUCAGAAGAGGACAGUUGGGUCUGAUGUGUCCCUUUUUCUUACAUUCAAAGCAGACUAUGUCUUUGUUUGGUUCCUCAUCAUCAACAGACUUGGUCUGCUGUCUUUGAAAGCUUUGUUUCUUUGAAUUGAACCUUCUUCCUUUUCUAUUCAGUUUUCUGAAUCUUCUUAUCAUGAGAGCAAGCUCCUCAUCGUCCAUAUCUUCUUCAGAAUCUGUAUCAUCAGAAUCAUUAUUUGAUUUUAAUGCAAUGGAUUUCUUACCUUUUGGAUCUUCAUCUUCAUUGAUCCAUUCCACUUCAUAAGACUGAAGAGUUCCAAUUAGCUCGUCGACAGAUAGUGGCAUAAUUCUUUGCGUCUCUCUUAUCGAAGUCUUUAUGUGAUUCUAAUCCCUGGAGAGUCCACGCAGUAGCUUGUUUACCUUCAUGGGAUCAGAAGUUGGUUGACCUUGAUUUUCAAGACCAUUCACAAUAUCUGUAAAACGACUAAACAUGUCAGAUAUAGAUUCUCCUGGUUUCAUUCUGAAGGCUUCGUAUUGACCAAGAAGAAUGUUGAUUAUAGUUUCCUUCACUCGAUCUGUUCCUUCAUAAGUGAUAUGCAAUCUAUCCCAAACUUCUUUUGUUGUACCACAAGAAGAUAUUCUAUUAUAUUCAGUUGGUGAUAAAGCACAAUAUAAGGAGUAAAUUGCUUUUGCAUCGAGUGCUUGUCUUUUGUUUAUUUCUUCCUGAGACAUUCCGCUGGUUUCAUCAGUUUCUUUUCCUCUUUCAGAUACUGAUGCAGUGGUAGGAGUAAUUCCUUUUUCUACAACGUCCCAUUCCAGAGGAUCCUUUGAUCGAAGGAAAGCUUUCAUCUUGUUCUUCCAGAUGUUGUAAUCCUUUCCAUCAAAGUAGGGUGGUCUGGUAUUGCUUUGCCCUUCCAUCAACCCUGGUGCUAGCAUACUAGCCAUGGAUCUUUUACUACGAAGUAAAACACUUCAAAUAAAGUAAGUACACAGGCUCUGAUACCAAUUGAUAUUGCUAGUAUGAGUACCUAGAGGGGGGUGAAUAGGUAUAUAAAGAGUUUUUCUCAAGCAAUUGCACAAUACUAGACAGUUGGAUGAAACGAUAAUCAAAGUAAGACUGAGAGAAGAGAAAAUUUAACACGCGGUUUAUAGUGGUUCGGCUUAUAUCAAGCCUACGUCCACUCUUCUUCACUGACAGCCUAUUGGCUAGAUUCCACUAUGAACAAGAGAGAGGUUACAGCACAGCUUUGCCUUGAUUCCACAGUGUAGAUGUUCUACUACACCUCCUCAAGAUUUCUCACAAAUAUAGACUCUCUCUUUCGUAUACAAGUAUUCGCUCAAAGGAUUUGUCUAAACAAAAAGAAGCUUCAGACUUUGGAAUUAUUCUAUCGCGCACACCUUGAACAACUAAGACAGUCUUCCUUAUAUACUCCUUUAUGCCAUUAUACCCGUUGGCACUUACCAAAGGAAUUCCUCAAAUCUACCCGUUGGACGGAAUCAAUUAGGAAGAUUGUCCAAGCUAUAAAUGGAACGUGUUGAUAGCCCAUCAAUCAUGUUCGCCCAUACAAUCAGGAUCUCGGUUUCCAUAAGCAGAACCUUCCAAUAAUAUUUAGGCAAUCACCGGAUCUUCAAUUAUCGAAUCAAUCUUCGAUCAAUCAAAGGACUCCGUUUAUGUCUUCUCCAGCCAUGAGAUCUUCUCCAGUUGAUAAGGUUAAAUCCUCAACGAAACAUCCAGUUCUGGAUAACCUUUCUUCAACGGAUUAGAGACUGUCAAUGAGGAUAGACUUUGAGUCUUGAGUCUGGCUGUCCCAAGGUCUUCAGACUUUAAAUAGCAGAGUCUGCAAGCCUUCAGACUAGACUGAUAGAAACGAUUUGUCAACUUCAAAACACUUCAAGAAGAUUUCUCCAACACAAUCCUUGUAGCAACCUCUGCAACUUGUGCAGUUGCUCGUCUUCUCACCUAAGAAACACAUAACAAAUGUAAAUUUUAGCCCAUAAAAAGGCCAAACACAGUGAUGUACAACUUACAGGAUAUUUUUUUCUUGUUUGCUCAACGGUGGACUCAGUUGUUAUUGUUGCUGUCUUACCAAUUCUAGUCCUUAUCCCUGCACUUGAGCCUACAACAUGGCCUUUUUCUGGCCCUUUAGUAGGCCUUACAACAAUGUGCUGUAUUAGGAUUAUGACCAACUACAACGAAUAAUUACACAUCUCAUUUUCAUAGUGGAAACACAUGGAGAAAACUUCUCAAAUUACAAGUGCAUGACAGAGGAAAAGCACAAGAGAAGCUAGUACACAUGGUCAACCAUCAAACUCUAUCGAAUAAGAACUGUAAAGUUACUGAGAUAAAGAGGAUACUUACCUUACAGUAUGGCUUUCUGUUGCCCUUUAGUAGACAUUACAGCAGGGCCUUCUGUUCUCCCUUCAAUAAGCCCAACAAGAAACUCUUUGUAAGUCAUGUCCCUGGCAUUGAAUCAACCAUUACAUCUUGCUAUUGAUACUGCUUUUUCAGCUCACAACCUUUCUUAUCGUGCCCUUCCUUGCGGCAAUAGGAGCAUUUCAUAUUUGAUCUAGUCCUACUCAUCCUUUGACUUGAUGCCUCUUCCUAUUGCAUUCUUCGUCUCUUUUUUGGCCUUCAUAUUUGCUUCUUCAGCGGUAAAGGUAGAGGGCUUUAAUGAUUUGUUGGCUCCCAAAAUUUGCUGCUUCUGAUAGGCUACAUCAUGAAUUGGUAUGAAGCAAGGUAUGAGCUUUUUUUGUACCAAUCAUCUAGGUAAUCAUCUAGGUUUUCUUGCUUCAUCUGAAUAGCACAAAUGGCAUGAGCACAGGGAAUUCCAUUCAGUUGCCAAGCUCGGCAUGAACACUUUCUUCUAUCCAAGUUGACAACAUACUUAUCAUGAUUUGGAAUAAUCUCAUACCCAUUAUCUUCAUUCCAAACUGGAUGGCAGAACCUACUAACAGCAAUAUUUGCAUCUAAUCUCUUCACAAUCCUAGGGCCACAGUCUCUACUCCAUUUUGUAGCAUCAUCUCUUUGCCUAUGCAGUCUAGUCAUAACCAUAACUCGAAUAUCAUCAAGCAUGCUGAUGAUUGGUUUGCACCUAGCCUCUAAAAUUCUACCAUUGAAAGCUUCAUUGAGGUUGUUAUCAAUGUUAUCGCAUUUGAACUCUUCGCUGAAGAAGACCCGACACCAGUGCUUAGCUUCUGUCUGGAAGAGUGUAUCAAAACCUUCAUUUGUCAGCUGUAACAAUCCUUGUUUCGCUAAUUUGAAAUCAACCAUAUUCGUACUCUUUGCUAUCUGCCAGAACUGCUUCUACAACAUAUCUCCUUUGAAGUUCCUUGACCAGUUUGCAUAUAUGUGCCUCGUGCACAUUCUAUGCUCAGCAUGUGGCAUCAACUCAGCCAAUGCAGGAAUAAGUCCAUACAAAAAUUCAAACCAAUAAAUACAAGUCAAGAAAAAUAUGCAAGUGAUUAAUAUAUAAAUGAGUGAUUAUUGACAUGAAAUUACCUUCUAUUGGUUGCUCAUGAAUGCCCAUCCUCCCCCAUCGGUUAUCACAAGGUCAGUCAUCAAAUUUUUUAGGAACCAUGACCAAAUAUCCUUGUUCUCUAUCUUUACCACCGCCCAAGUUAUCGGGAACAUUUAAUUAUUGGCAUCUCUCCCCACAGCAACCAACAACUCCCCCUUGCAUAAACCCUUUAGAAAGCAUCCAUCCAAUCCUAUAACUCUUCUACAACCAACCAAGAAGCCCCGUUUGCAUGCAUCAAAACAGACAUAAAAUCUAUCAAAUUUAGGCCAAAGAUCAGGGAGUGGCCUCUUCACAACCUCUACAUAUACCCUACUGGAUGGGUUUUGAAACAUGUAUUCACCAGCAUAAUUCCAUACCUGUGCAUAUUCUUCUUUAUACCCACCCAUCAAUAUUUUCAUCACCCUUAUCUUAGCUCUCUUACAUUGAUUCCUCGACACAUUAACCUCCACUUGCUCCUUCACUAAUUGUUGAAAUUGAGAACUCUUGAUCUCGGGCAUUGCUUUGAUAGUAUUAAAAAAAUUCUUUGAUAACCACACACUUGUUACCCUUUUAUUAUUAAAGAUAAUUGGACAAGUAUGCUCCUCCUGAAAGGACCUAAGCUAGAAUGACCUAUUCUUACUAAGCGCAGCAUAGAGCUUCCAUGAACAAUUAGGUUGUGAGCACUUAGCUCUCACAAAUUCCUUCGUGUUUCUAAUAAAUUUAACGCUCCUCUGUUCACCAAUUGAGUUCUUCACAACAGCUUCCUUGAACUGUUUGGCAUUGUCAAAUCUCAUGCCCACCGACAAAACAGGUUUAUCAACAGUUGAAUCAUAGAAAGGAUACUUACUUUUUCUUCGAGGAGCAGGUUCUUCAUCAUCAUUGUCAAGCUCAUUUUCCGAACUAGUAACUUCAUCGCCACAGCUUUCUUCAUCUUCACUUCUAUUACCCUCAGCUUGAUCUCCAUCCCUAUUUACUGGCUCGGACCUUUUUGCUAAAGCUACAAGUUUUUUUUUCUCAGAAAUUCCCUUUGCUUUUGUCUUGACUGUACGAGUUCAUCAUCAUCUUCGUCACUUGGAAAAUUUACUAAAGCCAAACAUUCAUCUUCCGAUUCAUUAGAUAAAGCAAUUUCCCAUUCUAAUCCAAUGAAGUCUUCAUCGCCCACAUCUUCACCCAAAUCUUCACCCAAAAUUUCAGGACAUCUCCCUCUUUGUUCAUCUCUAUCAAUAUGACUUAUCUCCCUCUCAUUUUGCCCUUCAUCUAACCUAAACUUAUCCCCGACUUGAUUACUCGUUUGAACAAGAUCCCUCACUUCUCCUCCUUCAGUGGUCGUCUGCUCAUCCACAUCCUCAUCCUCAUCCUCACUAUAAUACUCAACAUAUACCUUAACUUCUUCAUUGUGAAGAUAAUGGUAAAUGAUAUCCUUAAUACCAUUAUCGUUGUUAAAAAAUCUUAACCCAUCCUUCAAUUCCUUCCCAGGAACACAGUAAUGUAGUUUUUGCACUUUGCAUCGUAAAAAAUACACCAAAUCUCUCAGAAAAUCAAUAUAUGAUGGCUUCCAAACAUUGACAUAAAUAGUACCUUAAUUUCCACUAUUUUAUUAUCAAUCUUCAGUGCCAAUAACAAACUCUCCACCAUAGUAAACAAUGACGCUUACCUGAUUCGUGUCCAUGUCGAUGCUGCACCCAAUGAAAAAAAAAAGAGUCAUUGUCGUUUUGUUGGAACCACAUGACAGAAUCGACAACUUCACAUGUAGGUCCUUAUCGUUUUGUUGUCAAGGAACAAAUGCGACUAAAAUCUCCCCAAUUCGGUGGAUUUACAGAAAUAAAAGAAACCGAAUUAAAUAAACAAAGUGAGGUCCCCACCACUCAUUUUUCAAUUCAAUCACAUUCACAUUCGGUCCCCCACAAAAGCAGUCCAAUUAAUUAAAUAAAAAAAUUCGGUCCACCACUGUUUCCCUCCGAGUCAAGCCUCUCCGCACCAUUUUUUCUGUUCGGUCCUCACAAUAGAAAACGAACAAACGAUGGAAGAAUCAAUUUUUCUAUUCCGUCCCCAUAAAAGUGACAUCCCCACCACUUUCCCCACUACUUUCCGCUUGAGCCAAGCCCUCAAUUUGCCCUCCGUGCCCUAAUUUGCCCGUCGGAACCCUAAUUUUUUCGCAAAAUUGAUCCACGUAGAGAACAUGACAAACUUGAACGAUCGUGAACAAUGGCGCAACUACAACGGUGGCCAAGCGAUAGUGGGCGAGCGACAGCAGGCGAGCGAACGACGGUGGGUGAACGACAGUGGGUGAGCGAGCUCCGGCCAGCGUCGAGGAGAAUAAUAUACGAACCCUAUUUUACUCCCUCUUCAGCAACAUCGUUUUUUGCUAUGGAGCAACGCGGCGUCGUUUCUUAUGUGAAUCCACGGUGGAUGGCAAGAAACAACGUUGUUUCUUACAAAGAAAGGAAAACGGCGUCGUUUUAUGCUAUCCACCGUGGACAAUCUUAAGCCACAUCGUUUUUUUUUUAAAUAUAAAAGCCACGUAUUUAUUUUGGCCGAAAUUUCUCGCCAGUGGCACCAAAGUGAUCGUUUUUUCUCCGAUUUGGCACUUAAGUGAUUUGACGGAAACUUUUGACACCAAAGUGAGCGCCGUACACAACUUAUGGCACCAUUAGUGUACUUUUCCCCAAGGUUAAGGCUUGCCACACUGAAUGUAACUUCGCUUUGGGACCCAACCAACGCUAGAACGCCACCCGUCUUCAAAAGAGACAUGUAAGGAUCAAAUAGGUGAUCAGCAGAUGCCGUGUCGAUUAUAAAGUCCAGGGACUUAGCCAUGGCCUGCAUGUAUUGGAAUCAUCAGAUCACGGUAGCACUUGACCUUAAUGGAUCUAAAGUAUUGAUAAUUUUAAAUCUUCCCGCCUGCCUUCGUCUAUUCUUGGUCAGAUGAGAUAACGAAGUGGUCAGCACCAAGCAAGCUCAGUGCUUCCUCCUUUUUAGAAAUGCUUGUACUAAACAUAGCGAAUUUCAGUCCAUAAGCCUUCCCAAGCUUAAUUGCCAUGUGACUGAGCCCACCGAGUCCAAUUACACCAAGAGACUUACCCGGUUGGUUCAUCUUGUGACGCACCAUUUGAGUGUAUAUUGUGAUUCCAGCACAAGGCAAUGGUGCUGCUAAAGCCAACGGGAAGUUUUCUGGAAUCCUGAAGCAGUACCUGUUAAUGAAGCACCACAAUUAAGUUUCCAAAUCACACCAAAGGAGGAAGGGAUUUCCCAAUAGAAUCAGCAUCCCAUCUUUUUUGUACAACGGGAUUCAAAUCACAUUUUACUUGCUUAGAGCACAAUUCAACAUCAUGUGGUUUCUGUGAUUCUUUUUCUGACCACAAAUUGCUUAAGACGAAAACUUCUUGCUGUAGCGACGAAAGUAAAGCCACUGCAGCAUACAGGAGGCCAUACUUGAUCAAAAUUGAGAAAAGAGGCUUGCUCUAACAGAGUACACUGGAAGCAUAUUGCAUAUGCAUGGCAGAUCAUGUAAUUUCUCUAUUCCCCUCAAUCAUGUCUCUAAGGGACACGAUAUUCCCGUGACUGUCGAAUACAAGAAUCCGUGAAAGCACGUACAUUUUAUUACCCAUUUGAUCUAACACUUACCAUCUAACUCUUGGAAACAAUCUAAAAAAAGGGAGGAAGAGGAGAUAGAAGGCAAGAAUUGAGCAAUUUCCAUCUGUUUCUCUCUUUUAAUUAAGAGUUAAUAUCCUAAAAAACUCCAAAUUGGUACACAUGUGACAAAUUUACCCCGAUGGACUAUUAAAAACCCUAAAAUUAUAUAUUUAUGACAAAUUUACCCCAAACUAAUUUAUUCGACCACAAAAAAAAUGGUAAAUUUGUGACAAAUAUAUCCUCCACUAAAUUGAAUUAAUACCAUAGUAAACCGUGACAAACGGAGCGUAAAAUCUCAAAUUGAUAUACUAGUCAACUGUCACAUGUCAUUUAACUUAAUAAUUUGACAGUAAAAUUUAAUGAAAACUAAUAGAAGGUAAAUUUGUCACAAGUGUACCAGUUUAGAGUAAAUUUGUCAAAUAUAUAACAAUUUAGAGUUUUUUGUGGUAAAAAAAAAUAGUUUGGAGUAAAUUUGUCACAGGUAUAUCAGUUUGGGGUUUUUUAGGGUAUUAACCCUAUAAUUAAUUUAGUUUUAAAUUUAAUCUUAUUAAUUUUUCAUGAAAAAUUCAUAUGUUAAAUUUAUUGGCUCACAUGUCAUUGUCACUUGAUGUGUAUGAUAUAUAGAAUAGUCCAAGAAAUUUGACUUUAGAUACAUGGGAACCCGCGAAUGGUCAUACAUUGUCGAUUACACAUUCAACAUGAUGUAUUAGCUAAUCAUAGUCCUCUAACGGUUUAUAUUUGCUUAAUAUAUUUCAAGAAUAUUAAUUUGUUAGACUUGUCCGCUCACACGCCGCUGUCACUCGAUGUGUAUGAUAAGCAGAAUAGUCGAAGAGCUUUGACUUUAGAUACUUGGGAGUGUCUAUGCUUGUUUUAUGUCUAUUAUGCUUGCAAUGCUUCUUGUUUUGAGUGGACAGUACAAAUAUUUAAGUCCGUGUCAAUUUGAACAAUUUUCUUUAUUAUAGAGCAACAGUCUUUAAUCUAUUGUGUUCUUGACCACAAAAAACCAAAUAACAAAUAAGUAUAAAUUAUUGUAGGGUCCAACGACAAUCUUUAAUCUAUUGUGUUCUUGACCACAAAAAAUCAAAUAAUAAAUAAGUAUACAUUAUUAUAGGACCCACUCCUUUAAAAAUUUGUUGUUCACAAAAACUUAUUUAUUCUCAUAAUAACCCAAAGUUAUGCUAGCAAAAAUGCAAUUUAAUCCUAAAAUUUGUCACGAAAUGCAAUUGAGUCCUAAAAUUUUCAAAAAGUACAAUUAAUUAUAAAGAUUUAUCAAAAUUGGUCCAAUUUAAGUCAUUCCAUUCAUUGCAAUUUUUGAAAGUUUUAGAGCUCAAUUAUGCUUUCCUAACAAGUUUUAUGACUUAAUUAUAAUUUUUGAAAAUUUUAGAACUUAAUUGUAAUUUAUGAUAAGUUUUAGGAUUUCUAGUACACUUAUCUUUUUUUUUUGUUUUUCACCUCAUUAAUCUUUUUUGCAACAAUGAGCUUGACAUAUCUCUGUUUUGAGGAUUUCAGUGGCUAGGGGAAACACAGGGAUGUCCUCUAAUGAAUCAACAAUCUUCCUGCCAUGACAAUGCCGGAAGAGAGAUGAGUGUCUUACAUAGUUAACAAAAAUGUUCAUGUUAUAAUUGGUAAGCAUUCGCUUUCCCAACGUGCAUGAACAUUUCCGGCGAUGAAACAUUCGUGAGGAGCCAGUAAAGACAUCCUGUUAUUUAAACCGGCAAGAGGAUAUCGAGCUUGCUCUAUUGGCAAGUAUAUUGUUGUCAGAUAAGCCUAAUAAAUCCGAUAUUUUCAUACAAAAAAUCGUCAUCGAGGCCAACUUAAUCCAAAAUGCCAAUGGACAGGCUUGGGUAAGCUAGUGGAUAGGUAUGCCGCUUUAUCUUAUGUCGUGUUAUCUCACGAGAGAUGGUGCUGCGUUCUCUUUAGAAUGCACAUGACUUGGGAUAGGAAAACCUUAGGAUCCGACUAGGAGGAAGGAAAAAAGCAAUCUAUUGUCGGGCCAAUAUAAGAUCAUUUCAUGUCAAACUCCGCAGUCUUGAGGCCAUGGAAUCUACGACAUACUUGCUCAUUCACAAGGACUGAGCAAAUAAAUGAUAAAAUAAGAGCAAUGGUCGUCAUUGAUCGUCUGCCCUUUAACUGAUUGGAUUCUAAAUAUUUUAUUUUCAAUUGGGGUCUAAAUAUUUUAUUUGAUUCAAUUGACUUCUAAAGAUUUCCAAUUUUAGUCAAUCAAGUCCCUCAAAUAUUAUCCUCGGAAAGAGCCACAUGGCUGUGAUUUUCCUAGUGGCUAAGGAGAUGCUUGAGGAGAAAACCUGUAGGAGAGGCGAAGCCAUCCAAGCAGAACUCUCAAGAAGUCAAUUUUUCAGACAGUUUCUCAAUCAUCACAUAGAGAAGUACCAGGAUUUCAUUACCCAUUUCACUUGUUUCUGCUAUAAAACUCACGAGUAUCGAAGUAUAUCAGGCAUAGUUUAUUUGUACUCCAGCAGAGCAAUUAAGAAGGCAUAGAUGAUGCUCUCCUCUAGCUGAAAGCCCGAAACUCCCACUUUUCCUCUGUGUGAUCAGCCUUGCCAGCAACAAUUUCCAACUACCCAAAUUGAUGUUGAAAUUUAAUCAAAUAGACUCAGAGAAGAAAACAAACAAGAGAAUUGUUGCUGUAACUUUCGUUACUUUAUUCAUCAGAACAUAAGCCUAUUAAAUAGGCAGAACAUCCAAACCACUUAGCAAGACAAUAGCUAUAGAACAACAACAAAGACCCACUAACAUACCCCACUAACCAGAACAUAUGCAGAAACUAACUCCUAAAAACAAGCCACAUCCUAUUGACUAGGACUCCACUAUUACAUUAUUGAAGACACGUAAAAACUGAAAGUUAACUACUUCAACAAUUGAUGGUGUCACUUCAAGGAGUUCUCAAUGUCAAUCACGAAUCGAUACUUAACAUCUCUCUUGAUGAGCCUCUCCAGAGCUUCGUUGGCGUAAUCGAUCGGUAUCACUUCAAUGUUUGGGUAUAUCUUCUGCACCGCACACAAGUCUAUCAUUUCUUGGGUAUUCUUUGUUCCUCCCGUUACGCUACCCGUAACAGUUCUCAUAUCUGCCAAAAGUUCACCGCGAGCAACUUAAUUCACCUAUCAGGUAUGAAAUUUCAUUUAGUAAUCAGAUUUGAGAACAAAAACAUACUGAGGUUAAGGCUGGCUGGACUGAAUUUAACUUCGCUCGGGACGCCGACCAAUGCUAGAAUGCCACCCGUCUUCAAAAGAGACAUGUAAGGAUCAAAUGGGUGAUCACCGGCUGCCGUGUCGAUUAUAAAGUCCAGGGACUUAGCAAUGGCCUGCGUGCAUUGGAUUUAUCAGAUCACAACAGAAUUUGACCACCAUGGAUCUCAAUGUGGAUAAUUCUAGUUUUUCCUCUUUUUACCUUCAUCUGCUCCAGGUCAGAUGAGAUAAUGAAAUGGUCAGCCCCAAGCAGGCUCAGUGCUUCCUCCUUUUUAGAAAUGCUUGUACUUAACACUGUGACUUUCAGUCCAAAAGCCUUCCCAAACUUAACUGCCAUAUGACCGAGCCCACCAAGUCCAAUUACACCUAGAGACUUACCAGGUUGGUUCAUCUUGUGACGUAUCAUUGGAGUGUACACCGUGAUUCCAGCACAGAGCAAUGGCGCUGCUAGAUCCAUCGGGUAGUUUUCUGGAAUCCUGAAGCAAUACCUGUCAAUGAAGCACCACAAUUAAGUUUCCAAAUAACACCAAGACAGGAAGUGAUUUCCCAAUAGAAUCAGCAUCCUGUCUUUGUUGUCUAAAAGGAAUCAAAUCACAGAGCCAGAAAUCCUAUCUUCCACAUGCUUGGGAAUUUUACUUGCUUAGACCACAAUUCAGCAUCAUGUUGUUUCUGUGAUCCUUGUUCUGACCACAAAUUGCUCUAGACAAACAUUUCUUGCUGUAGCAACGUAAAUAAAGCAAUUGCAGCAUACUGGAGACCACACUCGAUUAAAAUUAAGAAAAGACACUUGCUCUAAGAAAGGAAACUAGUGGCAUAUCAUGUAUGCUUGACUGAACACGUAAUUUUGUAUUUCCUUCAAUCAAUUUCUCCAAAGGACUCAAGAUUCCUGCGGCUCUAUCAGAAACAAGAAUUAGUGAAAGCGCAUACAUUUAGCUACUCAUUUGAUCUGAUACUUAUGAUCUAACUCUAACAAUCUAAGGACAGCUUAUUCCAUUCUUGACAAUGGUUAUUCAAAAGAAAGAAUUUCUUUUCGCAUUUAAUAAAGCCAGUUCUCCAUUGAAUGGUUUGAAUGGUAAUUGGAUACAGAGGACUUAAAGACUCUCCAGAGUCGUUAUAGAAAGUAUCUUUAUCCCUUUCCACAAGAUGCAAUUAAUGCCUAAAAGCCAUUCCUCACAGUCCUAUGCAUUAUGCCACUUCUGGUCACAAUCAGAAUAAGAAGAAAAUUAGCAGAGAAGAAGACAUGACAUGAAAUCUUUUUUUGGCCACCAUGAUUUGGAAUUCUGUCACAGUGCAAAAUGCUGCCUAAUAACACUGUGUCAGUAAGCAAUUACCUUUCAUGGACGACAAUGUGACUAGAAUAUCCUCCCUUUGUCACUGUACCAUCUGCAUCAAUUCCAUCAAAAGUCAUAACCGACUUUUCACAUUGGACUUCUAGCCUGUCAUUGCAAUACUCGCACUCUCUGCAUGAAUUGACAUAAGUUCCCACCCCCACAUGAUCGCCAACUUUGAAGCGUUGGACACUGGAGCCAACCUGUUUCACAAUUCCAACUAUCUCGUGCC
rnacentral:lncRNA from 1 species